rnacentral:lncRNA from 1 species
UUUUUUUGUUUUUCUCAAAGGUUUUCAAACGCACAAGAAGAAAGCAGGAAAAUAAAAUAAACUAGCAUGGAUAGUAUAGUGAAAAAAUAUGACCACCAACAACUAAAAUGAGUGUGUGAACAUGAAUGUAAUGUCGGUGAGAAAUACGUACUCCCCCAACCUUAGGCUUUCGGCCUAAGUUGGACUACACCCAUGGAUCAAAGUGGUCCUCUCCGGUGUACUGAGGAGGAUCCUCAGGGUUUCACUGGUUAGCAAGCUCUUGUGGAUCCCACUGACAAAUAGACUCCUGAUAUGGAUCAGGAGAUGGCUCAGGCUCAGGCUCUACGGAUCGUGUCCGCUCCCAGUACGCGUAAAUGUCAUUGGGAAGUAUGAGGUACGUGCCUGAAUGAAUAUUAAACAAAGAAGGUGCAGGCAAGGUAAGAAUCUGACAAGUAGUUUCACUAAUUACCAAGUUAUAAAUGAGUAUUUUCUCUUUAUCUUUGCAAAUGAAAUCAUGUGCUACCAUACUUUUAUAGUCAGAAUAUUUGGCAAGGCACAAAGAAAAGAUACCUCAAAAAUGGGGCCCUUUGUACGAUUUAGACUCAACCAUUUAGCAACCAUAGCGCCUAAACUGAAAGUUCUAUCAUAAAGUAAAGCAUGGCGCAAAAUGGCGAGGUCAGGAUCACUGAGGCCCCCACUGUUCCCGCGACCAAUUAAACAUCUACUAGCAAAUAUUGCAUAGUAACGUAGAACAGGAAAAUGUAUACAAGUAGUUCUUGCAUCUGACACUUUUCUAUUUUCCCCUACUAUAAUUUUAUCAAUAAAUUCUGCCACAUCAGUAGGAUGUGGUUCCUCGAUGAUGCCCUCAAAAAGCAACUUGCAAACCACACAAAAAUCAUAGAGUGACAUCUCCUUAAACUCAUCAUAUAAAUAAAAAUCUACCAAAGGUGGUGAUCUCGUAGCAUGGAAAUGGAAGUUUUGCACGAAAAUAUUAGUGAGUAGGAGGCAUUGAUCACACUUAUUGUGGAUGAAUUCAGUGAUGCCUGCAUUCUUAGCCAAGUAAUAAAAGUCUUCUUAAAUUCCAGCGGCCCUCAAGAAUGCAUCACAUCGCCAUUCACACGGUCGAACCUCCGCGGUGCGGGGAAGGUUGUACUUGGGCUUUUCAUUCUCUUCAUUCUGCUUUUCCUACGAACCUCGGCUCGAGGAGCCUCUCAACAAUCUCUUCAAAAUUUUCUUCCUCCGAAAAUUUCUGAAAUUUUAGUGACUCGAAAUAAAAGUGAACGAAACUCAACAAGGUUGAUAGUAACUACUCCCACAAGUGCCUAGAGACUAUAUCAUGCAUUAAAACUACUUUGGACCAAAUAAAUUUGACAUGCAAGCUCAAGAACAGGGUCACCUCAACAGCAAAAAAUUACAAUAAAUAAAGCACUAAAACAAAAACUAAUUAGACCAUUGGAGGAGUCACAUACCAAAGAAAAAUCCCCCAAAGUAGUUUUGUGAAUGGAACUUUGAGCAAGGAGAUAAAAAUGGCAGGAAAAUGAGCAAGAACACGAGUUUGAGCUAUGGGAUGAUUUUUUCUGGAGGAAGACGAAGUGUGUGGGUGCUGGAAUAAGUGGAUGGGGGCCACGUGAGACCCACAAGACAGGGGGCACGCCCUCCACCCUCGUGGCUAUAUGGUGUGGCCCCCUAGUGUGUUCCAAGUGCCAGAAAUUCUCAAAUAUUCUACAAAAAAUCAUACUAAAUUUUCAGGGCAUUUGGAGAACUUUUAUUUUCGGGGUAUUUUUUAUUGCAAGGAUAAUUUAGAAAACUGACAGAAAAUACUAUUUUUGCUUUAUUUAUUUUAAAUAACAGAAAGUCAAAGGAGGGUACAGAAAGUUUUUCUUUCUAACUUCAUCCAUCUCAUGCUCAUCAAAAGGAAUCCACUAACAAGGUUGAUCAAGUCUUGUUAACAAACCUCUUUCGAAUAAAAUGAAACUGGAGAAUUUUUGAAUAACACUAAGUUACCUCAAUGGGGAUAUGCAUGUCCCCAACAAUAAGAAUAUCAUAUUUCCUUUUGACAGUAGAAAGAGGGAAUUCAAACCCUCCAAUAGUAAUAGUUGAAUUUUUUCCAAUAGAAUUGAUACUAUGAACUUGAGGUUGUUUCUUCAGAAAGUGUACCGUACGCUCAUUACCAUUAACAUGAAAAGUGACAUUGCCUUUGUUGCAAUCAAUAACAGCCCCUGCAGUAUUCAGAAAGGGUCUACCAAGGAUCAUCGACAUACUGUCAUCCUCGGGAAUAUCAAGAAUAACAAAGUCCGUUAAAAUAGUAAUGUUUGCAAAGAUAUUUCAGUAGGUGUCAACUUAUUCAAAUCAAGUCUACGAUAUAAAGAGAAAGGCAUAACACUAACACCGGAUCCAAGAUCACAUAAAGCAGUUUUAACAUAGUUUCUUUUGAUGGAGCAUGGUAUAGUUGGUACUCCUGGAUCUCCUAGUUUCUUUGGUAUUCCACCCUUAAAAGUAUAAUUGGCAAGCAUGGUGGAAAUUUCAGCUUUCGGUAUCUUUCUUUUAUUUGUAACAAUAUCUUUCAUAUACUGAGCAUGGGGAUUCAUUUCAAGCAUAUCAGUCAAACGCAUACGCAAAAAGAUAUGUCUAAUCAUUUCAGCAAAGUGCUCAAAUCCUCAUCAUCCUUUUUCUUGGAUGGCUUAGGAGGAAAAGGCAUGGGUUUCUAAACCCAUGGUUCUCUUUCUUUACCGUGUUUCCUAGCAACAAAGUCUCUCUUAUCAUAACAUUGAUUCUUCGAUUGUGGGUUAUCAAGAUGAACAGCAGGUUCAACUUCUACAUCAUUAUCAGUACUAGUUUGAGCAUCAACAUGAACAUCAUUAUUAACAUUAUCACUAGGUUCAUGACUGUCGGUGUUCUGGGAAUGGGGGUCCCCAGACUCGGCCUGCCUGCGGCCUGCGGUGUGGAUCAAGUAGGGGGCCUAGUGCGGCCCAGCUUCAUCAGCUCAAGCUCAAGACCCUCGCGAGGGGCCAAGCCUCGCGGGGCGGAUGACAGGAAGCUUCCUCAGGAGCAGCCUCACCAAGCAGGCUCGCGAGGAGGCGGAGAGAUCAAGGCAGGGCAUCUCGUGAGGAGCCCGUGACGCAAGCCAUGACGAUCGGGACCAGGCGGGUGCCGGCCUGUGCAGUGUCCUUGUUUCCUCUUUGGUGCAAAGGGAGUAAGCACAGGCCAAGGCUUCAGGCAAAGGUUACCGUUUCAAUGCCACAAGACCAAGACCAGAGGAACGGCUAGAAGGAGGUCAUCGUGGAGCCCAGGACGGUGUCAUCGUCAGAGCCUUUGACAGGCGAGGACCGACUUUAGUCAGGAUAAGUGUACUAGAUGUUCCCCUUCAAAAUGGCCAAUUGUUGGUGCCCUUCCCACUCAUUAUUUGGGGAGAGGCCCAGGGCCUCCCUCUAUAAAUAGGACUAGCCACCAGAGAGUAGAGGCAUCGAGAUCUAGAUCUAGAGAGCUAGAAAUCGGUAGGCAUCUAGAAUCAACCCCUCCAAAAGGGACAACACCACCACAAGAACACCCCUCGCGAGGCUAUUCUUCCCUUGUACUGUUCAUCAUCAACCCUUAAGGCAAUCCACCACACCACACACUGGACUAGGGUAUUACACCUCAACGGUGGCACGAACCAGUAUAAAUCUCGUGUCCCUUGUGCGUUCUUCUUUCUAGCCUAGAUCCUUUGCGCGACGACGAGACACGAGUUGGUAGAGGAUAGAUCUUCGCGUGCACCCCAGUGUUCGAACCUCAAGGGUCUGCCGGAACCCGAAAUCCGACAUUUGGCGCCCCAGGUAGGGGUGCGCCGGAAUCCUUCUUCCGUCGCCUCGCGUUCCGUCACUUCGCCGUUCUGAUGUCAAGCGACCCGACAGCAAAUGCCGACCGCUGGGCAGCGUGGCCCGCCCACGCCGUGCCGUCGGCUGAUGUCUACUACACAACCUUCUUCUUGUAGACAUCGUUGGGCCUGCAAGUGCACAGGUUUGUAGGACAGUAGCAAAUUUCCCUCAAGUGGAUGACCUAAGGUUUAUCACUCCGUAGGAGGCGUAGGAUAAAGAUGGUCUCUCUCAAACAACCCUGCAACCAAAUAACAAAGAGUCUCUUGUGUCCCCAACACACCCAAUACAAUGGUAAAUUGUAUAUGUGCACUAGUUCGGUGAAGAGAUGGUGAUACAAGUGCAAAAUAGAUAGUAGAUAAAGGUAUUUGUAAUCUGAAAUUAUAAAAACAGCAAGGUAACAAGUGGUAAACGUGAGCGUAAACGAUAUUGCAAUGAUAGGAAACAAGGCCUAGGGUUCAUAAUUUCACUAGUGCAAGUUCUCUCAACAAUAAUAACAUAGAUAGAUCAUAUAACAAUCCCUCAACAUGCAACAAAGAGUCACUCCAAAGCCACUAAUAGCAGAGAACAAACGUAGAGAUUAUGGUAGGGUACGAAACCACCUCAAAGUUAUUCUUUUGGAUCAAUCUAUUAAAGAGUUUGUACUAGAAUAACACCUUAAGACACAAAUCAACCAAAACCCUAAUGUCACCUAGAUACUCCAUUGUCGCCUCAAGUAUCCGUGGGCAUGAUUGUACGAUAUGCAUCACACAAUCUCAGAUUCAUCCAACCAACACAAAGUACUUCAAAUAGUGCCCCAAAGUUUCUACCGGAGAGUCAAGAACGUGUGCCAACCCCUAUGCAUAGGUUCAUGGGCGGAACCCGCAAGUUGGUCACCAAAACAUACAUCAAGAGCCACAUGAUAUCCCAUUGUCACCACAGAUAAGCACGGCAAGACAUACAUCAAGUGUUCUCAUAAAAGACUCAAUCCGAUAAGAUAACUUCAAAGGGGAAACUCAAUUUAUCACAAGAUAGUAGAGGGGGAGAAACAUCGUAAGAUCCAACUACAAUAGCAAAGCUCGGGAUACAUCAAGAUCGUGCCAUAGAGGGAACACGAGAGAGAACACGAGAGAGAGAGAGAUCAAACACAUAGCUACUGGUACAUACCCUCGGUCCAGAGGGUGAACUACUCCCUCCUCGUCAUGGAGAGCGCCGGGAUGAUGAAGAUGGCCACCGGUGAUGGGAUCCCCCUCCGGCAGGGUGCCGGAACGGGCUCCCAAGAGGUUUUUGGUGGCUACAGAGGCUUACGGCGGCGGAACUCCCGAUCUAUCUUGAUAUUCGAUGGUUUUAGGGUACGAGGGAAUAUAUAGGCGAAAGAAGUCGGUCGGGGGGUGCUCGAGGGUUCCAUGAGACAGGGGGCCGCGCCCUAUAAGGGGGGCACGCCCCUAUCUCCUGGGCUCGUCGAGGAUCUUCUGACUUGAUCUCCAAGCCUCCAGGAUGAUAUUCUUCCAAAAAAUCACAAUGCCGAAGGUUUCAUUCCGUUUGGACUCCAUCUGAUAUUCCUUUUCUUCGAAAUACUGAAACAGGCAAUAAACCAACAAUAUGAGCUGGGCCUCCGGUUAAUAGGUUAGUCCCAAAAGUAAUAUAAAAGUGUAUAAUAAAGCCCAUAAUCAUUCAGAACAGAUAAUAUAAUAGCAUGGAACAAUCAAAAAUUAUAGAUACGUUGGAGACGUAUCAAGCAUCCCCAAGCUUAAUUCCUGCUCGUCCUCGAGUAGGUAAAUGAUAAAAACAAAUUUUUUGAUGUGGAAUGCUACCUAGCAUGAUUCUCAAAGUAAUUUUCUUUAUUGUGGCAUGAAUGUUCAGAUCCAAAUGAAUACAAAAUAAAAGUUCAUAUUGAUAAAAGAAAUAGUAACACUUCAAGCAUACUAAUCAAAGUAAUCAUGUCUUCUCAAAAUAACAUGGCAAAAGAAAGUUCAUCCCUACAAGAUCAUAUAGUUAGGCUAUGCUUCAUUUUCAUCACACAAAGAUGUUCCCAACUUCUAUACCCCCGAUGACAAGCCAAGCAAUUGUUUCAUACUUAAAUAAUCUCAAACUUUUUCAACCUUCACGCAAUACGUGAGCGUGAGCCAUGGAUAUAGCACUAUGGGUGGAAUAGAAUAUGAUGAUGGGGAUUGUGUGGAGAAGACAAAAAAGGAGAAAGUCUCACAUUGACGAGGAUAAUCAACGGGCUAUGGAGAUGCCCAUCAAUUGAUGUCAAAAUGAGGAGUAGGGAUUGCCAUGCAACGGAUGCACUAGAGCUACAAAUGAAUGCUCAACAAAAGAAAACUAGUGGGUGUGCAUCCAACUUGCUUGCUCACGAAGACCUAGGGCAUUUGAGGAACCCAUCGUAGGAAUAUACAAGCCAAGUUCUAUAAUGAAAAAUUCCCACUAAUAUGACAAAGACAACUUAUGAGACUCACUACAUGAAGAACAAGGUGCUACUUUGAAGCACAAGUGUGGAAAAAGAGAUAGUAGCAUUGCACUUUUUAUUUAUUUAUUUUUCUUUUUUUCUUUUUUUGGGCCUUUUUUGGCCUUUCUUCCUUUUUUUCUUUUUUCUUUUUGGGCGAUGCUCUAAUAAUGAUGAUCAUCACACUUUCAUUGAUUACAACAUAUGAAUUACAACUCGAAACUAGAACAAGAUAUGACUCUAUAUGAAUGCCUCCGACGGUGUACCGGGUGGUGCAAUGAAUCAAGAGUGACAUGUAUGAAAAAUAAUGCAUGGUGGCUUUGCCACAAAUAUGAUGUCAACUACAUGAUCAUGCAAUGGCAAUAUGACAAAAGUAAAGUAUGUCAUGAUGAUGAUGAACGAAACGGUGGAAAGUUGCAUGGCAAUAUAUCUCAGAAUGGCUAUGGAAAUCCAUAAACAGGUAGGUAUGGUGGCUGUUCUGAGGAAGAUAUAAUGAGGCUUAUGUGUGAUAGAGCGUAUCAUAUCACGUGGUUUGGAUGCACCGGCGAAGUUUGCACCAACUCUCAAGGUGAGAAAGGGCAAUGCACGGUACCGAAGAGGCUAGCAAUGGUGGAAAGGUAAAAGUGUGUAUAAUCCAUGGACUCAACAUUAGUCAAAAGAACUCAUAUACUUAUUACAAAAAUUUAGAAGUCAUCAAAAAUCAAGCACUACGCGCAUGAUCCUAAGGGGAUAGAUUGGUAGGAAAAGACCAUCGCUCGUCCCCGACCGCCACUCAUAAGGAUGCACAAGCCAGGUACACUUGUUUCAAAUUUGUUACACUCUUUUAACCAUACGUGCAUGCUACGGGACUUGCUAACUUCAACACAAGUAUUCUUUAAAUUCAUAAUCACCCAACUAGCAUGACUUUAAUAUCACUAUCUCCAUAUCUCAAAACAAUUACCAAGUAUCAAAUUGAUCAUAGCAUCCAAUUCACUUCCUAUGAUAGUUUUUGUUCAAAUUACCAUGCUGUUUAAGACUCUCAAAAUAAUAUAAGUGAAGCAUGAGAGUUCAUUAAUUUCUACAAAAUAACACCACCGCCGUGCUCUAAAAGAUAUAAGUGAAGCACUAGAGCAAACGACAAACUACUCCAACAGAUAUAAGUGAAGAUCAAUGAGUAGCUAAAUAAUUAUGCAACUAUGUGAAGACUCUCUCUCAUUUAAGAAUUUUAGAUCUUGGUAUCUUAUUCAAACAGCAAGCAAAACAAAAUAAAAUGACAUUGCAAGGAUAGCACAACUCAUGUAAAGGAGCAAAAACUUAGGCUCAACCGAUACUAACCGAUAGUUGUUGAAGAAGAAAGGUGGAAUGCCUACCGGGGCAUCCCCAAGCUUAGAUGCUUGAGACUUCUUGAAAUAUUAUCUUGGGGUUCCUUGGGCAUACCCAAGUUUGAGCUUUUAUGUCUCCUUAAUUCCUCUCAUAUCAUGGUUUCUCUUUUUAUCAAAAGCUUCAUCCACAACAAACUCAACAAGAACUCAUGAGAUAGGUUAGUAUAAACCAAUGCAAAACCUUAUCAAUUUUUACUGUAACAAAUCACUAAAAUAAUUAUUCAACAUUGCAUACUGAAUGCCUCUGCAUAUUUAACACUCCUAUCCUCAAAUAGAAUCAUUAAACAAGAAAACAUAUGCAAACAAUGCAACCAUAACAGCAAUCUGCCAAAACAGUACAGUCUGUAAAGAAUGCAAGAGUAUCAAUACUUCCCUGACUCCAACAAUUAUGAACUAAAAUUCCUAUUGUAAGAAAUUUAUCAGAUCUUAAUAUGCAAAAAGAUUCAACGUUAUACCAUUCUCUGACUUUUCUAGGGAAUUUUUGCAACAGCGGUAAACUUUAUGUUUUCAAACAGCAACAUGUAUACUAGCAAAAUAAGCAUGGCAAAGGCUAUCCUUGACACUUUUAUUGAAAAUAAAGAUUCAAAGCAUUAUUCUAACUAACAGAAAGAAAACACUAACAAAAUAAAUUGACGCUCCAAGCAAAACACAUAUCAUGUGGUGAAUAAAAAUAUAGCUCCAAGUAAAGUUACCGAUGAACGAAGACGACAGAGGGGAUGCCUUCUGGGGCAUCCCCAAGCUUAGGCUCUUGGUUGUCCUUGAAUAUUACCUUGGGGUGCAUUGAAAAUCCCCAAGCUUAGGCUCUUUCCAAUCCUUAUUCCAUAGUCCAUCGAAUCUUUAUCCAAAACUUGAAAACUUCAACCACACAAAACUCAACACAAAGCUUGUAAGCUCCGUUAGUAUAAGAAAAUAAAUCACCACUUAGGUACUGUAAUGAACUCAUUCUAAAUUCAUAUUGGUGUAAAACCUACUGUAUUCCAACUUCUCUAUGGUUCAUACCACUUAAUACUACCCAUAGAUGCAUCAAAAUAAGCAAACAACACAAUGAAAACAGAAUCUGUCAAAAACAGAACAGUCUGUAGUAAUCUGUAUCAAACGUAUACCUAUGGAACCCCAAAAAUUAUGAAAUAAAUUUCUGGACCUGAGAAAUUUAUCUAUUAAUCAUCUGCAAAACGAAUCAACCUAAAAUCACUCUCCAGUAAAAAACGGAAGCUAAUCUCGUGAGCGCUAAAGUUUCUGUUUUUCACAGCAAGAUCACAUAAACUUCACCCAAGUCUUCCCAAAGGUUCUACUUGGCACAUUAUUGAAACAAAAGCUAUAAAACAUGAUUACUACAGUAGCAUAAUCAUGUGUACACACAAAAAAAGUAAGGGUAAAUAUUGGGUUGUCUCCCAACAAGUGCUUUUCUUUAAUGCCUUUUUAGCUAGGCAUGAUGAUGGCAAUGAUGCUCACAUAAAAGAUAAGAAUUGAAACAUAACGGGAGCAUCAUGAAGCAUAUGACUAGCUCAUUUAAGCCUAACCCACUUCCUAUGCAUAGGGAUUUUGUGAUCAAACAACUUAGGGGAACAAUAAUCAACAAGCAUAGGAAGGUAAAACAAGCAUAGCUUCAAAACUUUAAGCACAUAGAGAGGAAAUUUGACAUUAUUGCAAUUCCUACAAGCAUAUAUUCCUCCCUCAUAAUAAUUUUCAGUAGCAUCAUGAAUGAAUUCAAAAGUAUAACCAGCACCUAAUGUAUUCUUUUCAUGAUCUACAAGCAUAGAAAAUUUACUACUCUCCACAUACGCAAAAUUCUUCUCAUGAAUAGUAGUGGGAGCAAACUCAACAAAAUAAUUAUCAUGUGAGGCAUAAUCCAAUUGAAAACUAAAAUCAUGAUGACAAGUUUCAUGGUUAUCAUUAUUCUUGAUAGCAUACAAGUCAUCACAAUAAUCAUCAUAGAUAGCAACUUUGUUCUCAUAAUCAAUUGGAACCUCUUCCGAAAUAGUGGAAUCAUCACUAAAUAAAGUUGACACUCUUCCGAAUCCACUUUCAUGUUCAUCACAAUAAGAUUCAACAUCCUCCAAAAUAGUGUGAUCACUACUUCCUAAAGUUGACACUCUUCCAAAUCCACUUUCAUAAAUAUAAUCAUCAUAAAUAGGAGGCAUGAUUUCAUCAAAAUAAAUUUGCUCAUCAAAACUUGGGGGACAAAAAAUAUCAUAUUCAUCAAACAUAGCUUCCCCAAGCUUGUGGCUUUGCAUAUCAUUAGCAUGAUGGAUAUUCAAGGAAUUCAUACUAACAACAUUUCAAUCAUGCUCAACAUUCCAAACCCAGUAUCAAGCAUUUUAAUGCACUCUUCUUCUAGCAUUUGAGCACAAUUCUCCUUUCCAUCAAACUCAUGAAAGAUAUUAAAAAGACGAAGCGUACGAGACAAACUUAACUCCAUUUUUUUGUAGUUUUCUUUUAUAAACAAAACUAGUGAUAAAACAAGAAACAAAAAGAUUCGAUUGCAAGAUCUACAGAUAUACCUUCAAGCGCUAACCUCCCCGGUAACGACACUAGAAAAGAGCUUAGUUGACGGGGUGUGAGUGAGUGCCCUUUACCUAGCCUCCCCGGCAACGGCGCCAGAAAAGAGCUUAGUUGACGGGGUGUGAGUGAGUGCCCUUUACCUAGCCUCCUCGACAACGGCGCCAGAAAAGAGCUUGAUGUCUACUACACAACCUUCUUCUUGUAGACAUUGUUGGGCCUGCAAGUGCACAAGUUUGUAGGACAGUAGCAAAUUUCCCUCAAGUGGAUGACCUAAGGUUUAUCAAUCCGUAGGAGGCGUAGGAUGAAGAUGGUCUCUCUCAAACAACCCUGCAACCAAAUAACAAAGAGUCUCUUGUGUCCCCAACACACCCAAUAGAAUGGUAAAUUGUAUAGGUGCACUAGUUCGGCGAAGAGAUGGUGAUACAAGUGCAAAAUAGAUAGUAGAUAAAGGUAUUUGUAAUCUGAAAUUAUAAAAACAGCAAGGUACCAAGUGGUAAACAUGAGCGUAAAUGAUAUUGCAAUGAUAGGAAACAAGACCUAGGGUUCAUACUUUCACUAGUGUAAGUUCUCUCAACAAUACUAACAUAGAUAGAUCAUAUAACAAUCCCUCAACAUGCAACAAAGAGUCACUCCAAAGCCACUAAUAGCAGAGAACAAACGUAGAGAUUAUGGUAGGGUACGAAACCACCUCAAAGUUAUUCUUUCGGAUCGAUCUAUUAAAGAGUUCGUACUAGAAUAACACCUUAAGACACAAAUCAAUCAAAACCCUAAUGUCACCUAGAUACUCCAUUGUCACCUCAAGUAUCCGUGGGCAUGAUUAUACGAUAUGCAUCACACAAUCUCAGAUUCAUCGAACCAACACAAAGUACUUCAAAGAGUGCCCCAAAGUUUCUACCGGAGAGUCAAGAACGUGUGCCAACCCCUAUCCAUAGGUUCAUGGGCGGAACCCGCAAGUUGGUCACCAAAACAUACAUCAAGAGGCACAUGAUAUCCCAUUGUCACCACAGAUAAGCACGGCAAUACAUACAUCAAGUGUUCUCAUAAAAGACUCAAUCCGAUAAGAUAAUUUCAACGGGGAAACUCAAUUCAUCACAAGAGAGUAGAGGGGGAGAAACAUCAUAAUAUACAACUACAAUAGCAAAGCUUGGGAUACAUCAAGAUCGUGCCAUAGAGGGAACACGAGAGAGAACACGAGAGAGAGAGAGAGAGAUCAAACACAUAGCUACUGGUACAUACCCUCAGCCCCGAGGGUGAACUACUCCCUCCUCGUCAUGGAGAGCGUCGGGAUGAUGAAGAUGGCCACCGGUGAUGGGAUCCCCCUCCGGUAGGGUGCCGGUACGGGAUCCCGAGAGGUUUUUGGUGGCUAUAGAGGCUUGCAGCGGUGGAACUCCUGAUUUAUCUUGAUAUUCGAUGGUUUUAGGGUACGAGGGAAUAUAUAGGUGAAAGAAGUCGGUUGGGGGGUGCUCGAGGGGUCCACGAUACAGGGGGCCGCGCCCUGUAGGGGGGGGGCGCCCCCUAUCUCCAAGCCUCCAGGAUGAUAUUCUUCCAAAAAAUCACAAUGCCAAAGGUUUCAUUCCGUUUGGACUCCGUUUGAUAUUUCUUUUCUUCAAAAUAUUGAAACAGGCAAUAAAACAGCAAUAUGGGCUGGGCCUCCGGUUAAUAGGUUAGUUCCAAAAGUAAUAUAAAAGUGUAUAAUAAAGACCAUAAUCAUUCAAAACAGAUAAUAUAAUUGCAUGGAACAAUCAAAAAUUAUAGAUAUGUUGGAGACGUAUCACCGGCCCAGGGCGACCUCAACCCUGCGCCUCAGGCAGCUCGCGCUCCGCAGGGCGCUGCGGGGCGCGGGCAACGCGGCCAAACGCUGCCUGCCCUCAUGCAGCGGCAGGUGCGGUCAGCAGCAAGAGCCUCAAGCCACGCCGCGGCCACAGCAUCGCACACUCGAGGGGAGCAGGGGAACUCCAGGGCCGCGCUCAUGGUGGCCCGAGAGCUGCUACGGUGCCGGCUGCUGGAGGGUGGCCGUGACAUGCUGUUGGAGCGAGUGGCCGAGCUCCUGGAUGCCACCGCCUCGGGAGCACCUCCUUUCCACGUCCAGCUGCAGCCCCAGAUCCAGAGUGGGCCGUAUAGCAGCCCCAUACGCGCCCAUGCAACUCCAAGCGGGCUCCAGGGCCUACUCAAUGCCGACCUGGCCGGCAGCACCAGGCGACAAGUCGUGCCGACCCCAUCUCCGGCCGGUGAAUGAGUGCACGCCGUGACCUUCGGCCUCGGCGGACCACCACGCCACCACCCUCAAGACAACUCUCCAGGCCGGACUGCAUGGCAUGUGGGGCACUACGGCGAGGCCUGCGGGGCAGUGGCCCCAGAAGCUUACGUGCCCCACAUGGUGGAUCGAGAGUGCGCGCUGGAAGAAGACCACGGCUCAUUUCUCGGGCCAGGCUGGGGAGAGGAGACACCAGAAGCUGAGCUCUUUCAGGAACCCCAAGAGGGCCACAACGACCAUGCCGGUGGCGGCAACCAUCUGGUACCACUAAUUCCUCAGGAGCAAGCUUAUGCUAACCAUGGGUCGCAGGAGGUACAGGUCGCCGCAGCAGAUGGCUGCCCCAAUCCUGCAGCCCCUUACCCCUCGGGAGGAGGGCACCGGGGCUGCAGGAGAGGGGCCGAGAUCCGGGUUCGUCCCCGCGGCGCUCGGCACAAGGCGUUCUCAGGAGGUAGGCCCUCUGCCGGGGAGGUGCCUCAGGGCCUGCCCCCGGCAGAGGACCCUUGGUCGUCGGGGGAACCACUGGCGACCGCUCUAUCCCAUUGGCGUCAUCCUUGGUCUCCGGUCACCGUCGAUGGUGGUAGAGUGUGGCGCAAGGCGGGGCCCUCGUCUGGCAAUAUGAAGCAAGGCCGGUACUUGUGAAGAAGGCCCAGUGCUUGUGAAGCUCGCCGCCCCGUGACACUCUCACGUAAUAAUGAGUGGGGUUGUACAUGCCCCGGAGUCUCCGGAUAGCUGCCCUCGGGCCUCGGGGGCUCCCGCUCAUGCCCAGUGGCAGCACUUAGCUCCGCACUGGUGAGAAUAUGUCGAAGACUAGACUAGGUGCCGGACGCAUCUUUUUGCUUUUUGCCUUUCUCUCUGUUGCCAAGUUCCUUCGAUUUGAAUUUAAGUGGGAUUUGAGCUUGAGACUUGCGUGUGUUCGGGGAAGGGGUGUUUAGUCUCGUUCGAGCAAUCUCUCGCGUUCUGGUUUCGGCUUUGCGUCCAAAGUAGCAUCAGCUGCCUCCCCUCACGAGCCCCUCGCGAGCCGGGCCAGGCCAAGCAUGGCUACGAUCUGGACCGCUGCCGCUGCACCCUCUCAGGGGGUUCUCAUCGCGGGAUCAAUGGGUUUACUCAGAAGACACUUGGGGCAUUGCGGCCCCCGCAGGAUCGCUCGGGACCCGUCCGGGCCAAAGGUAAACAAGUCAACCGGCCCAUUGCAGGGCCAAUGGCUCAACAUAAGCAUACAUGCGAUGUUAUGUCUACAAGUACACCAACCGUAAACCUUUACACGAGGGGCUCCCCCUCCCAAAAUGCUCUUACCACCUUCAGGGCCAAGCCUGACUGUUUUCGCACAGGGCAAACAGCGGAGGUGACACGCGAUCAAUCAGACAAAUCCCCCAAUGCGUCUUCAGGGGCACCUCCGGAGUCAUCACUGGCGUCACUGGCCUCACCAUCACCCAUGCCGUCGCCUUCAUCGGCGUCCUGAUCAUUCACCACGCCGCCUUCAUCGGCAGCCACGACCACGCCGUCGUCUUCAGUGGCGAAGACCCUAACUAGGGCGUCCACAUUGUCCUCCACGAAUGCGCCAGAUCGCCCCGGAUGGCUAUGGGCACCGGUGCGAUGGCGGCAUCAAAGCCGAAAUGGGGGUCCCUGUUCUGAAGAUAACUGAAAACCCGGGAAAAAGCACGUCCAAGCAAGGCUCGGCUCCUCUCCUCAACGAGCCCACGGACCCUGUCAGAGCGGGUCUCUAGCUGCGUCACCACAUUAGUGAAGAACCGGAGGUUGCCGGUGUAGUUGAUUACGCGUGCUGGCAUUCAAGAUUCGAGCGAGCCUCCACCACGCGACGAUCAACCUCCUCUUGGACUCGGGCUUCCCGCGCGCUGACGUCAUCCUCCGCCUGAGUCACCAGGCGCUCCCUCGUCUCCAACCGCUCGAGGUCGAGGGAGCGCUCAUCGGCCUCCAACGUCAGCGCCUCCUCACGCUUCUGGAGCUCCGCCUGGUCGACGGAAGCCCCCUUCAGCGACACAAGGGCCGCCUGAUGUAGCUCCACAUGCUGCUCCAGGGAGUCGCUCCAGGCUUGGAGCUCCCACACGUGCUCCUCUGCAGCCUUGCGCCAUCGGUCUGCUUCCCGAGCCUCCUCGACAGCCUGGGAGCAGGCCUCUCGCGAGGCCGCCAGCAAUGCUUCAGCCUUUGCGUUAUCAAGGUCACGCUGGUGACGCACAAGGCCGACGGCUACCUUUAGCUUGCGCCUCUCCUUAGUGAGGCACAGGCCCUGGGCCUCGAGGCGUGCAUCCUCGCCAGCAAGCUCCGCCACGAUCCGGCUCACCGCAUCCCCCCCCAGAAGAAACUCUUGACGAAGGGCGCGGCGUUCGCAAGAGCGCCUGAGCAUGUCUUCCGCGUCACCCUCUGCCACUGGCGUAUGCAAGGGCCCUGAGGCGGCAUGCCCCGUCCCGGCGCAGGGCUAGGGGCUAGCGCCCCAGCAAUCGCCGAACGGACCCCGCCAGGAGCCUGGCCUGGCGCCGGUCCGUUCCCAGAAGAGGAGCUCAAGACUGAAUUUAGCCAAUCACCAUCCACGAUCAAGGAAGGAGCACGGGGCAAGCUGGCUGUGCCCCAGGAGGACUCGUGAAGGGAGGACAGCAGGCACGCCGGCUCGAAGUGCCCAGCGGGACGGGCCACUUCUCCGACCGGCCGAGUGGCAGGGGCGCCGCUCGAGCUUGGCGCACCGAGGGUCAGCAGCGAGGACAAAGCUUGGGGGGAUGGCUCCUUGGCCGUCUCUGCGAAUUCGGUAGGAAGGGACUUGAAAGGCCGCGGUCAGCUGCGAGAAUAGAGAGGUAAAGGAGCAAAAAGAGAAGAGGACUUACUCGUCCAUGGCGAAGUACUUCCUGUGCUUCAGCAGGCGGUAAGGGCGAUCGUCAUCACCCAAGGCCUCCUUCCUCUUGUGGAGGACCUCGAAGUCUACGCGGAACCGGCCUAAGCGCUUUGCGCAGGGGCCGGUCUGUGGCAUGGAAGAGGCGUCAAGGUGAUCAGCGUCAAGGGGACCGGCCUGAGGGACGCCCCCAGGUGCCGCCUCAUGAGGAACGGUCGGGACCUCGGAAGCCCCAACCUCAGGAGCCGUAGACCACAACUCCUCGCCUGCCACUGCUCCAGGACGGGCUUCGGGAGAUGCCACCUUUGGGGCUCCGCGCAACGUCAGCAUCUCGACAUCACCCCCUUCAGCUCCCGGCGGUUCUCGUCUCCCCGCUCCAUCACCUGAGAAAGAGCCGCUUGGGGCGACCGGAAGAGCAAUCACAGCGACUGCAUUCUCGCGGGGCCCCGUGAGGCCAGCUGGGCGCAGCCCCCACUCAUCAAAGCUGGGCAUCUGCCUCACAAAAUUGGCCCUGCCCGAGCAAAGAUAAAAGAGGGCACCAUCGUGUCGAAGGCUGCAUGGGGAAGGAUCGCUAGUCAGGGCCUUGAGCAUCGUCCUUAGUGCUUCAGGCGCCAGGUCCUCCUCCCGAAGCCGCAUGCGGUCCUUGUGCCCCGCAAAGUCCCACAUCCGGCGAGAGUGGCGCUGGAGAGGAGCAAUGCGACGCUGGAGGAACUCCUUCACCACCUUGGGCGCCGUCACAUCGAGCACCCUCAAACUCUCGAAGCGGCGCCAAACAAAGGAGAGCCAGGGGCUCGCGAGCGUCUCAUGGCCCCAGCCUGAGUUAGGAACAGUAGGCAAGGUCGGGUGCAAGAGCAGGGGGCUGGGCACCCCGACAUCCACAUACAACCACCGCUCUCUGAACCUGGCCUCAGAGGGAGGAAGGCUGAAAUCGAUCCCUGAAGCAGCCGUCUCUGGCAUGGCUAGGAAGCUCACAUACCCCGAGCAUUGAGCAGGGUCGCUUAGGUGCAAGGAGAAGAAGUGGCGCAGCAGGGCAACGGAAGGAGGAAUGUCCACCAUUGCCUUGCAAACAAAAGCAAAGACAGACAAGAGGGUGAUGGACUCAGGCCCGAGGUGCAUCAUGUGGAUCUGAUAAUGAGUGAGCACCGCAUUGAAGAAGGCGGAAAAGGGGGGAACCAGACCCACCCACAGGGCGUCAGCGAAGAAUCGGACCUCGGUGACAACCCUGUCGAAGGAGGAGUGAGACGCGGGCCAGACCGUCGUCCUCCCGCACUCGUUGAAGAUGGAGGCAAGAGCAGAGUGGACCUUGUACAGGGCUUCAGGACUAAGUAUGAUUGACCGGUCAACGGCAGGGCCCGCCACCGGAGGUGAGCGGGGCGAAGGCGCGGGCUUCUUUCCCCUUUCCUUCUUCGUCGGCGCCAUGACGAUAGAAAAGGGGGAAGAGUUCGAGUUGGAUUGGAGGAGGGAGUUGGAGCUCGAGGAAGAAGAAAGGGUAGGAAGUGCGCGAACAACGAAAGGGGAAUGGAUGUGUGCAACCACGGGUCCGCCUAGCCGGGCGCGUAAUGAGGCAUCAUGGGGAAGCGGAGACACCCACGUCCAAUCAACCGCCACACGGCGCCCAAGGCCGCAGGCUGUUGGGGCCCGCGGCGCUUCGCACUUGCCCCUUCGCUUCUCUGCUAAGCCAAGUCCGGGCGUGCCUUGGGCCCGGGGGCUACUGUCGGUGUUCUGGGAACGGGGGUCCCCAGACUUGCCUACCUGCGGCCUGCGGCAUGGCUCAAGUAGGGGGGCCCAGUGCAGCCCAGCUUCAUCAGCUCAAGCUCAAGACCCUCGCGAGGGGCCAAGCCUCGCGGGGCGGACGACAGGAAGCUUCUUCAGGAGCAGCCUCACCAGGCAGGCUCACGAGGAGGCAGAGAGAUCAAGGCAGGGCAUCUCGCGAGGAGCCCAUGAUGCAAGCCUUGACGACCGGGACCAGGCGGGCGCCAGGCAGGCGCCGGCCUGCGCAGUGUCCUUGUUUCCCCUUUGGUGCAAAGGGAGUAAGCACAGGCCAAGGCAUCAGGCAAAGGUUACCGUUUCGAUGCAACAAGACCAAGACCAGAGGAACAGCCAGAAGGAGGUCAUCGUGGAGUCCAGGACAGCGUCAUCGUGAGAGCCUUUGACAGGCGAGGACCGACUUUAGUCAGGAUAAGUGUACUAGAUGUUCCCCUUCAAAAUGGCCAAUUGUUGGCGCCCUUCCCGCUCAUUAUUUGGGGAGAGGCCCAGGGCCUCCCUCUAUAAAUAGGACUAGCCACCACAGAGUAGAGGCAUCGAUAUCCAGAUCUAGAGAGCUAGAAAUCGGUAGGCAUCUGGAAUCAACCCCUCCAAAAGGGACAACACCACCACAAGAACACCCCUCGCGAGGCUGUUCUUCCCUUGUACUAUUCAUCAUCAGCCCCUGAGGCAAUCCACCACACCACACACUGGAGUAGGGUAUUACACCACAAUGGUGGCCCGAACCAGUAUAAAUCUCGUGUCCCUUGUGUGUUCUUCUUUCUAGCCUAGAUCAUUUGCGCGACGACGAGACGCGAGUUGGUAGAGGAGAGAUCUUCGCGCGCACCCCAGUGUUCGAACCUCAAGGGUCCGCCGAAACCCGAAAUCCGACAAUGACCAGAUUGUGUUUCAACAUCAGAAAUAGAAAUAUCAUUGGGAUUCUCAGUUAUGUUAAUAACAGGUUCACUAGAAGCACGCAAAGUCCUAUCAUUACUCUCUUUCUUUUUCUUAGAAGGACUAGGUGUAUCAGUAUUAAUUCUCUGAGAGUCUUGCUCAACUCUCUUAGGGUGGCCCUCAGGAUACAAAGGUUCCUGGGUCAUUUUACCACCUCUAGUCAUAACUCUAACAGCAUUAUCAUUGUUCUUAUUAUUUAACUCAUUGAGCAAAUCAUCUUGUGCUUUAAGUACUUGUUCUAUUUGAGUUGUAACCAUGGAAGCAUGUUUACUAAUAAGCUUAAGAUCACUUUUAACUCUAGACAUAUAGUCACUCAAGUGUUCAAUAAUAUAAGCAUUAUGUUUCAAUUGUCUACUAACAUAAGCAUUGAAGUUUUCUUGUUUAACAAUAAAAUUAUCAAACUCAUCCAACCAUUGACUAGCAAACUUAGUAUAUGGGAUAUCACCCCUGUCAAAUCUAUAGCGAGAAUUUACCUUUACUACUUGUGUCGGGUUAUCUUGACCAUGUGUCUCUUCAAUAGGUGGUAAAUUCUUAACAUCUUCAACUUUAAUACCUUUUUCUCUCAUAGAUUUCUUUGCCUCUUGCAUAUCUUCAAGAGUGAGAAAUAGAAUACCCCUUUUCUUCAGAGUUGGCUUAGGAGUUGGUUCAGGAAGUGUCCAAUCAUUGUCAUUACUCAAUAUAUUAUUCAAUAGCAAAUCAGCUUGCUCAACAGUUCUUUCCCUGAAAAUACAACCAACACAACUAUCCAGGUGGUCUCUAGAAGCAUCGGUUAGUCCAUUAUAAAAGAUAUCUAGUAUUUCAUUUUUCUUGAGAGGAUGAUCAUGCAAAGCAUUAAGUAAUUGGAGAAGCCUCCCCCAAGCUUGUGGGAGACUCUCUUCUUCAGUUUGCACAAAAUUAAAUAUUUCCCAUAAGGCAGCUUGUUUCCUAUGAGCGUGAAAAUAUUUUGCAGAGAAGUAAUAAAUCAUAUCCUGGGGACUACGCACACAACCAGGAGCAAGAGAAUUAAACCAUAUUUUAGCACCACCCUUUAACGAGAAAGGAAACGUUUUAAGAAUAUAGUAAUAGAAAACUUUUCCUCAUGAGUAAAUAGGGUGGCUAUAUCAUUCAAUUUAGUAAGAUGUGCCACAACAGUUUCAGAUUCAUAGCCAUAGAAAGAAUUGUAUUGAACCAAAGUAAUUAACUCAGGAUCGACAGAGAAUUCAUAAUCCUUAUCAGUAACACAAAUAGGUGAUAUAGCAAAAGCAGGAUCAUAUUUCAUUCUAGCGUCCAAAGACUUUUCUUUCAGCUUAGCUAAGAGUUUCUUAAGAUCAUAUCUACCAUUGCAAGCAAAGAAGUCUCUAGCAGUUUCUUCAUCCAAAACAUAACCCUCAGGUACAACACGCAAUUCAUAUCUAGGGGGAGAAUCCUCAUCAUCAGAUUCAUUAAUAUCAUCAGUUUCAGUAAUUUCAUUCUCUCUAACCCUAGCAAGUUGUUCAUCAAGAAAUUCACCUAGUGGCACAUUAUUAUCAAGCAGAGAAGUAGUGUCAUCAUAAGCAUCAUGCAUAGCAGAAGUGGCAUCAUCAAUAACAUGUGACAUAUUGGAAUCAAUAGCAGGUGUAGGUGUUGCAAGUUUACUCAAAACAGAAGGUGAAUCAAGUGCUGAUCUAGAUGGCAGUUCCUUACCACCCCUCGUAGUUGAGGGAUAGAUCUUGGUUUAGUUGUCUUUCAGAUUCCUCAUAGUGAUCAACAGAUAUAAAUCCCAAGUGACUCAGAGAAUAGACACCACUUCAGGAUGCUGCUAACGCCGACACUACAAUCAGAGACCCUUUGACGAAACUGUGUGCGAUGCAUUUAUUGCACACGGUGGUGUAAAAAAACCAUCAAAAAGGUGCAAAAUGUUUGCGAUGGCAGAUGCAUCAAACACGGUUCAGAUUUUAGUUCCGUGUGUGAUGUAGGGCAUAUGGUUCAGUGCAAUUAAUUGUUUGCGAUGAGGAGCAACAAAAUAUACGGGCAGCCAGAUGAAGGUGUAUGCGAUAAACAACAUACGGUUCAUUAGGAUGAACUGUUUGUGAUUAGGCAACACAAAAAAACGGUCAACUAGAUCAAGGUGUGUGCGAUAUAUGUCAUGCGGUUCACGCGGAUGAACUGUUUGUGUUGAGACAAGAGAACAUAAACGGUUCAAUAUGACAAGAUGUGUGUGAUACGCGGCAAACAAGUCUGUAAUCAGAAAUGUGUGUGAAGACCAAUAAUAACACAGACGAUUGCUGCUAAUAAGUUUAUGCUUAAUUUGGUUAUGCAACCAUAUAUAUACACACUUAGAAGGAAAUGGUUGCAUAACCAAACUAAACAUCCACUUACAUAGGUGGUUACUAUAACCAUGGCAUUUGCACACACCAAAGUAAACUAUUACAUGCAUAAUUACAUAGGUGGCUACUACACACAUGCCGUUUCCACACACCAAAGUAAACUAUAUAUUACAUGCAUGAUUAACUAGCAUAAACGGUCAUCUGAUCAUCAUCUACUGCUUGUGAUGCUUGCUCUGCUUGUGGCUCGAUCCGGGCUCAUCGAUUUGGGUAACGAGGCACUUCCUCAUGUCAACGAUCCGCCUGUGCAUCUCGUAGCAUGUGUACACGCUCUUGGCCGCGAACCUGAGGUGAGGUUCAUCCAGUUGCUGCAUCAGGCCCUGUGCCAGGAUACGGGACUUGUUCUCUGGGCAUCCUGCUUCAUCUUUUCAUAGUAGGGGUCGAUGAUUGUUGAGGCAAGUUCAACCACAGAGUCCUUCUUCAUGCUUCCCCAGACCCUGUAGUGCUCACGGGUUUCGACAAGGUUCUUGCAGGUGAAGCCCGUAACCCUGAGUGCUUUUACAUCGUCGGUGGUUACCACCGUAGCGAACUUGUAGUCGGUGUUGUUGACAAACCUGGCGAAACGGACGCAAGGCUCUGUCGCCAUGCAGUAGUGGUAGAUGAGGACAUGAUGGCGCACACACAACUGGGCGACAACAACCUUCUGAUCUUUGCCGGGAAGACCGACGGUGUACUGGUGGUCGAUGCCAACCACCUUGUACUUGUAUCCAGCAAGCAACUGCUCAACGGUGUUGAUGUAGUUGUCCACCACCACCGGGUCGAUGGUGUACACCAUCGAGAGAUCCGUCUCCCUCGCGUGGGUCUCCACUUUAUGCUCGCCGAACUCCAUUGGAGUGCCGCUACACAUCCCCUCUCUAUGUGUCGUCAUGGGUGUGCUUGUUGUGUUGUGGGGCGCGAUUGAAAGGUUGAAGAGACUAAGGUUAUAAUGGCCGCGGGAAUUAAAGGGGAGGCCAGACGACCUGGAAUAUCAAUCGGCACGCCCUGAUGGUAGUUCUAAUUCGCAGUGCGUAACUCCACCAUGUCGCACGUAACUGAUUCGCGUGGCAACGCACGCGGUGCAACAUCAUGCAUAUGGGCCCCCCGACGUGAUCGUCUGCAGGCCCAACCGCUGGCAGAGCACGAGCGAAGGGACGCAGCAGAGCGCUCCACGGUCGCCUCAACGGCGAGCAAGCAUAUAUAUGCAUAUAACAGUUGAACACGCAAGGAAAAGUUGUUCACAACCCGAGCGCACCGACGGACACGAUCAGAGUGCGCCGCGGCGCCUAAUGGAGAGCAACCAUAUAUAUGUGCAUAUAGCAGUUGAACUAUUUGUAUAAAUUAAGCACGUCUGCUUAAUCUAUGAAUGAAAUCUAUGCUUAAUUACAGAAUUUUAGUUGCAAAAAUUAGAUAGUGCUAGUGAUUUUUAGCUGCAUAUUUUGACAAAUCGCAGUGUUACAAGGAUUGACAAAUGGCAAUGUUAUUAGAUCAACAAAUGUCAAUCUUUCCAGUUUGACAAAUGGCAAAUAUACCCAAUAUGACAGAUGUAAAUCUAACCAAAUUGUUUGUACGUGGUUGCACACGGGUCAUCCGAAAAACCUGUUUGCAUUGAAGGGAGGUAGAAAUCCUGCUUGCCAAAUUUUCUCUUGGCUAAGCACCGAAGCCUCGCUUUGCAUACCUUAUUCAAUGUGAACCGUUUGCAUUGAAGAGAUGCACAAAUUCUGCGCAGCGGAUUUUCCCUUGGCUUACUGCGGAAGACCAUAGCUCUCACUUUGCAUACAUGUGUUCUAUCUAAAACGUUUGUGAUGAAGAGCUGGACAAAUCCUGCUCGGUACAUUUUCCCUUGGCUUACUAGGGAAGUUGUCAGUGUACAUACGGGUGUUCUAUCUAAAAUGUUGCGAUGUUAGAGUGGCAGCUAGUUGUUUCAAAAUGCCUUUGUUGACUGUUAUUCGAGUGCACCUUCUCUCAAAAUGGACACGAAAAUUACCACAACAUGUCGGUUGCCAUUCCAUGAUAGCAUGCCAAGUUUCAUGAAUUUCAGACGAGUUUUGGAUUUACUAGAAUUUAAAAACAAAGUAUCUCAACAUCUUGCCGGCAGUCAAUAGUGCCCUGGUGUUUGAAAUUCAUUCCCAUUACUUGCAUGGGACCUAAUCAUGCACCCAAGGACACAUAUUUGAUUUUUCAACCAAUUUAUGUGCACUGGAGCAUGUGCAUGUAAUUCAAAUUUGAAUUAUGCACAUAAAAUGCCUAGAAAACCCCGUUAAUAUAUAAGAAUGUCCAAACAAACCCCGAAAAAUUCCAAAAUUUAACACAACACUCAUGUUGUUCUAUGUUGACACUAGAAUUUUUUUAAAAGAAAUUACAGGCAACGGGUAUCGUUUCGUCCCCAAAGGUGGCACAUUCCCUACUGAAACCAUCAAGCUUGUUGUGAGAAUCUCUGGUUUGUGAGAAGCUUAUACUCAAACCUGCCCCAAAUGGGACAAAAAAUUUACUAUGGCAUGCCGGGUGCCAUUCCAUGAUAGCAUGCCAGGUUUCAUGAAUUUCAGACACAUUUUGGAUUUACUAGAAUUUAAAAACCAGGUAUCUCAAUGUUUGUGGCCAAGUGACGGUGGCAGGGUGUUUGACAUUCAUUCCCAUUUCUUGCAUGGGACCUAAGCAUGCAACCAAGGACACAUAUUUGAAUUUUCAACCAAUUUAUAUGCAUUAGAGCAUGUGCAUGUAGUUCAAAUUUGAAUUAUGCACAUAAAUGCAUUGAAAACUCAAUUAAUGCGUAAAAAUGUCCAAACGAACCCCGAUAAAUUCCAAAAUUUAACACAACACUCAUGUUGUUCUAUGUUUUCACUAGAAAAAGAAUUGAAAUCAAGAAGAGGCAACGGAUAUCAUUUCGUCCAGAAAGGUGAAACGUUCCCUAUCGUAACCAUGAGGCUUGUUGUGAGAAGCUCUGGUUUGUGAGAAGCUUAUAUACCCCAGCCUUCCCCAAAUGAGACAAUAUUUUUACCACUGCAUGUUGAUGCCGUUCCAUGCUAGCGUGUCAAGGUUCAUAAAUUUCAGACGCAUUUUUGAUUUACUAGAACUUAAAAACCAUGUAUCUCAAUGUUAGCAGUUGAGCGACGGUGGCAAGGUGUUUGACAUUCAUUCUCAUUUCUUGCAUGGGACUUAAGCAUGUAACCAAGGACACACAUUCCAAUUCUAAACCACUUUAUAUGCACUGGAGCAUGUGCAUGUAGUUCAAAUUUGAAUUAUGCACAUGAAUGCAUUGAAAACUCAGUUAAUAUAUAAAAAUGUCCAAGCAAACCCCGAAAACUCCCAAAAAAUGACACAACACUCGCGUUGUUCUAUGUUGACAUGAGAAAAAUUUAGAAAGUAGGAAGAGGCAACAUAUAUCGUUUGUCCCCCAAGGUGGCAUGUUCCCUACCGAAACCAUCUGGCUUGUCGUGAGAGAAGCUCCAGUUUGCGAGAAGGUUAUACCCAAACCUACCCCAAAUGGGAAAAUAUUUUUACCAUGGCAUGUCGAUGCCGGUCCAUGAUAUCAUGUCAAGUUUCAUGAAUUUCAGCUGAGUUUUUGAUUUACUAGAAUUUUAAAUCAUGUAUCCCAAUGUUAGCGGCUGAGUGACAAUGUCAAGGUGUUUGACAUUCAUUCUCGUUUCUUGCGUGUGACCUAAACUUGCAACCAAGGACAAACAUUUGAUUUUGCAACCCGUUUUUAUGGAAUGGAGCAUGUGCUUUAAUUUUGAAUUGUGCACCCAAAAUUGCUAGAAAACCAAUUUAAUGUAUAAAAUUUCCAAACAAACCCUAAAUAAUUCCAAUUUUUUUACGACACACAUAUAGUUGCAUGUUCACUGCAGAUAAAAGGUCUAGCAAUUCAAACAUUGUCCAUUGCCACUGUGACCCCAUUAUGUAAUUCAAAUCAAAAUAAAAAAUCAAGUAGAUCCCACACAGUUUAUUAUCACCAACCGUGUCAGAUGCAGUACAAAAUAUCCUGGAGCACUGUCGGUGUAUAGUACGCCUAUGGCUUACGCGAGAAGGUGCGUCGGCUACAGUCCGCAGCCUGCAUGUCAAGCACACUAGCUCGCUCCCCAAAUACUACCGCCUCUGCAUCCCUUGCAAUCUCAAAAAUAUCUCAUUGCCCUUGAUCCAAAUUUUCGGUAGCCCCUGCCUUGUUACUCCCGCCUAGUAAAACUUUCAGUUCCCGCAGUAUUUCCUCAAACACCACCUUACCCCCUCCCCCUCCACACACACCACACACUCCACAAAACAUGCGCUCACCGACACACACCACCCCCAUAACCAUCGGUAGGUUGCUGCCAUCACCGCCGCCUCCAUCCUCAACCUCUGCCUGUGUGCCGGGGAGCUCGAGGAGCCAAUGGCCCAAGAGAGGUUUAUCGCGGCCUCUUCGCCCGACGCCGGCGAGGUGGCCGCCGAGCUGUCCCUGUCGUCCUCCGCGGGCUCUUUAUCGAUCUGUCGUCGCUGGUCCUCCGAUCCGCCCGCCGCCGCGCCCCUAUGCCGGUUCGAGGAUUUUCUCGUCCUCCCUCGGACCCGACAGCCAAAGAGGUCCUACCUCGGGGUCCAACAGCAGCGGUGGGGGACGUGGGUCGCCGAGAUUACAGAUCGGGAGACCCACACCUGCCGGUGGCUCGGUAGCUUCCACACGGCCGAGCUCGCGGCCAUGGAGUACGACCGCUGGCAGGUCCUCUACCAUAGUGCAGCGGCUAGGCUCAAUUUCCCCUUCGGCACACGUCCGGUCCACCAUGUUCCGCCGGAGCCAAGGGUGGUGAUCUAGCUAUAGCGCGGGAGGACCGCGAGGCAUGGAAGCGCCUCAAGGCUGAGGCCGCCGACGAGGCCUACAUGCAAGAUCUCCGCCGGCAGCACCCGGAGCUCGUGGAGGCGGAGCGGGCAAUCUUUGCCGGCACGGAGGGCGGCGAGGUUAUCACGCUCUCCUCUGAUUACGAGGUCGAAGGCGGCAAGGACGGAGGCACGGAGGGCGGCGAGGUUAUCGCGCUCUCCUUCGAUGACGAGGUCGAAGGCGGCGAGGACGACGACACGGAGGGCAUUUAGAUGGGUGGCGAGGACGAGGUGAUCGAUGUCGACGAGUGGAGGAGUGCCAUCCCCAACGACCCCGAUGACGGCACCGGCCCAGACCUGGCUCAUGGCACACCGUACCUGACGAGGAAGGAUUGGCUCGACCUCUACUUUGACCGAAAGUAGUUUAGCUUAGUUUAAAUUUAUGUUUUAUGUUUGGUUAUGCAAAACUAUUUAUGUUUAUGUUUGAAUGCAUGCUACUUUCGGUUGAACCUGCUUUGAACUUGAUCAAAUUGAAGUUACAACAUUAAGUUUAGGGUAUCGACUAGAAACGGCCAAAAAUUGCUGGAGUGUAUAUAUAUCCACUAAUUAUUUUAGCCCUUUAUCUUUUAAAGGAUCAGCUAGAGAUGGCCUUAUGCCUUAUUUAUUUCAGUUCUUCACAAUGUGAUGCUCUAUAUGUGCAACUAUUUCCCAUGCAAUUCAAUUUCAUCAAUAACAGUUUCAACAAUACCACUAUGAAUUACGAUAUUUGGUUGUUGUUAAGGAUAUUGCAGUUAACAUGCCUUUUCAUUUUUUAACAAUAACUAGUGUACUUUAGACCUGGACAAUACCAGUUUGAAUGAUUAUUUGCUUGUUUAUAAAUGGUAUGCCUGAUGCAGUUAACACACCUUUCCACUUCUUGUUUUGCUUAACUAGCGUGCUUAAGCCUGCACACUGAAGCUAUCAUUUGUAGAUUAUGUUGUCUACCAUGGAUAUAUUUGGUUGUUGUUUAGCCUGUUGUGCUUAACAUGCCUUUAUAUGUACUCAUAUAGGACAAUAUUGAGAAAACAAUGUUGUUUUACAUCGAGGUUAGUUUCAUCGCAUUGCUUAUAUGUACUCACUGUUCAGGAUCUUGGUAGCUGGUACCAUAUAGCCUGGGGGCUAAUAAGGGAUUAAUCGUCGAAUCGAACAUUUCACUGAAUAUAUCUGUAACCCAUUUAUCAGUAGGUUAACUAGGGCCAUAUUUAAUAUAUCUGAGGCUACAUAGCAACAUGCAUUGUACUAAAUGACUAAAUAUGCAAUCCCAUGCUACAUAGAAACAAGGAAGAGUGUCACCUUAAUGUUCGUGUUACCUUAAUAUUCUGAUGAUGUCUAGAUAUACGUGUAUAAAAUCUUAUAUAAUGGGAUGGAGGGAGUGUUGUACUACAUCAUAUUGCAAUUGUUGUUUAGCUUCUAAUAUUAACUUGGUGCUUUUAGGUACACAUGUCAAUGCCAAAGAUCCACACUUCGACCCUUUCUGCGUAUGGGGCAAUGAGAUAUUCAUGAACCAACAUAAAGUGAGGAAACCGGUAAAGAUUCUUAUUAAAAUGGGUCAAAAUAUGUCAAUCGAACUAUAUGUUUACACUUUAUGCAAGACAACAGUGAACUACAUGAUGGUAAGUAAGAACCUUGUAGCCUUCUUUUUACUGCCCGUAAUGAGUUGUGUUAGAUGACAAUGUCUGAAUCUUUUUUCCUUUGCAGUGGAUUCUGAAGCAGUUUACUCAAGAUUACCUCUCAAACUACAUGAUUGGUGGACGGCCAUCACAAGGGGUUGGACUAGAGUCGUCGUGCGUGCCUUCUGCAUCCAGGAGAGCACAAUAGGGCCAUUCCGCUUCACUUUGUUCAGUAACCAGAAUGUCUGACACCUCUUUCUUUACCAUCUGUAAUAGUACAAGUAUAGAACUCUGGUUCAUCGUUCUUUAUUUGGUGCUUAUGUAAUUCUUAAACAUAUGUACCUGCGAAUUGAAUAAUGCAUUGGUUGUUUGAACCUGCUGGAUAUGAAUAAAGCUAUAGCCUACUUUCAAGUUUAAAUUAGGUACAAUUUUAAAUAGUAGCAAUGAAAUUAGGGCAAAAUUACGAUGUGCAGGUCAUUACGGUGCAAACGGUUAAUAAAGCACAGCGUGUGUGAUAUACAUCAUAAUCUGACAUGGUUCACAGACUAGAAACGUGUGUAACAAUGCACACAGUUGCUAUUUGCAAAGUGUGUGUGAUGUCAGACACUAUCACGUACGGUGCGGGAAAACUAAAUGUGUGUGAAUGCCUACCUAUCGUACAUGGUUUAUAAUCAUGAAUUGUUUUUGAUGUGUCAUGCAUCAUAAACAUAGAGCCGGUUUGGUACGUGCCUAGAAAACUCCCGUGCCUGGAAUCUGCCUGGUUUUAGGUAAAACCACAAAACUCUGACUGCGACGGUAAUGCGAGCACAAACGAGUAGCAAGGAUGAAGCGUUACGGAUAUGCGAGACAUCGGAAACGGUUAUAUAGGGGCAACUGUAUGCAUCAAGGCUCCAUAUCCCCGAUGGUUUCUGGGUCGUGUGGGAAAGACCCCAUAUCGCCCACACUCACUUGGCGACGGUUCCAAGUGUCGGCGUGGAAAGGGGUUAAAAAAGCAUUUGUAUAGCACCUCGAUGUACCAGUGUAUGCUCCCCGACAAUGGCGCUACAAAAAGGUCUUCAUAACCCACAAGUAUAGGGGAUCGCAACAGUUUUUGAGGGUAGAGUACCUGAAAGACUUAAUACCUGCAGCAAAGUAUUUAGUAGCAAAUUAGUAUGGAAGUAACAGUAACAGUGGCAAAAGUAACAGUAGCAGUUUUGUAGCAAUCAUAACAGUGUCAAUGGAGAAGUAACUAAGCAAAGAUCAAUAUGCUCAUAGGCAAUGGAUCAAUGAUGGAUAAUUAUGUCGGAUAGCAUUCAUCAUGCAACAACUAUAACAUAUGGUGACACAGAACUAGCUCCAAUUCAUCAAUAUAAUGUAGGCAUGUAUUCCGAAUAUAGUCAUACGUGCUUAAGGAAAAGAACUUGCAUGACAUCUUUUGUCCUACCCUCCCGUGGUAGCGGGGUCCUAUUGGAAACUAAGGGAUAUUAAGGCCUCCUUUUAAUAGAGAACCGGACCAAUGCAUUAGCACUUAGUGAAUACAUGAACUCCUCAAACUACGGUCAUCACCGGGAGCGGUCCAGAUUAUUGUCACUUCAGGGUAGCCGGAUCAUAACACGUAGUUGGUGACUAUAACUUGCAAGGUAGGAUCAAGAACACUCAUAUCACUGGUACGCGCCGGUGCUAUACAAACGGUUUUAAACCCCUUUCUGCAAUGGCAUUUGGAACCGUCACCUAGUGAGUGUGGGCGAUUAUGGGGUCCUUCCCACACGACCCAGAAACCGUUGGGGAUAGGCCCUCCUGGGACACCAAAUGGGUUUGUGUGCGACCGAAUAACCCAUGGAAACCCAAACAUUUCCGUAGGUAUGUACAUCCCACACGGUGAAUCAUAGAAAACAUUUCCAUCGGUAUGUACAUCCAACAUGGCGAAUCCCAUAAAAACAUUUUCGUAAGUAUGUAUAUCACACAUAGUCAAACCAAGGAAUUUGUUUCCGUUCUUAUGUACAUCCCACACAGUCAAUCCAGGGAAAACGUUUCCGUUCGUAUGUACAUCCCACACAGGUUUAUGUAUAGGCUCGUGUGUGAUACGUGUAACUAUCACACACGCUCUGCCUUGGUUAACCGUUUGCCUUUAUCAACUACACCACACACGAUUUGAUGAAGAAAACUGUGUGGCAUUAGGCUAUCCAUCACAAGCGUUUUUACUGCUAGAACCGUUUGCAAAGUUCCAUGACUCAUUUAGCAGGUUUAUUAGUUUACAGUUAAUAAUUCCAGUAUUACACAAAUUCACAUUUCAUACCGAACGGUUGUUUGCCAAUUUCAUAUCAGGCACAUAGAUAUAUUUUAACAUCACAGUACGAUAGCUACCGGAAAAUAGCAAAGUACAACAUAUAGUUCAUAAGAACAAUAUAUUCAUUUCCCUAAUCGAGAUCAUCCAGGCUCGCCUUAUCCACCUCUGCUUUCAGUUCAAUAAGAACCUGUUUUGCAUUGGCCAACUGGGAAAGUGCCUCCACCUUCGCCAACACCAUCUUAGCAAAGUCUGAUUUAAAAAAUCUGAGCUCCUUCUCCACCUUCCUCUUUUUAUCCCAGAUCUUCAAAUAUUCUUCAGCUUUGACAACACUACCUCUAAGCCUACCUCUGUUCUCUUCAUGAUACAUGCUCCAGAGCUUUGCUAGGCACAUCUUCAAAGACUGUGGCCACUCUUGAUCAACCCACUCCAAGUAAGAACACUUCCGUUCAUCCUAUAAUAUUUAAAACUAGAUCAGUAACAAUUGUAGGGAAAAUGGGUUUAUAUCAACAUAGAAAAUCACCUAUACUUAUUUUGAAAAACUGAAGAAACAGGUUAAUUAUGUCAUAUAUUUUCAAAAAGAUCAAUGUGCAAAUGAAUUAAUUGCUACUGACACAACGACCAAAUUCUGAAACAUCAGAAGCUAUAAUUAACUACAAACAACGCUACACAUUCUUACUCAUGUACUGUAAAUAACAAAUUGAACAUAUUAAGAGGAAGGUAAAUAUAACCGCAACAGCAUAGUGAUAGUGUUUGGAUGACAGCAAAUUGAUACUAACAGGUGUGUACAUGCACAAAUUUAGUAACAUAUAACUAAUAGCACUAAGGCGUCCACUAUGUAUGCCAAAACCGGUGUAAAGACAACUGUUGCUACAUCUCGCACCGGUGCCCUGCACUGGCGGGCCGAUGCAGCGGAACAAAUCAGGGACCCGAACUCCGGAGCACCUAGUUGCUCCGACGCCCAGUUCCUUCGUGGCAUAAAGAUUUAGUAUUUUAUUGCUUGGCUGCUCGGAUGUGUGGACAAGUUGGCUCCACAAACUGCUGAAGCAGUGGCAAAUAAUUUUCUAAUGGCAUCGUUGAUGAGAUGGCAACAUUUUUAGAUACUAGGUACAAACUGUGACACUGUCUUAGGAUGCGUUUGGUUGAAGGUGUGGUAUGAAUGGGUUGAGACUGUGACAUUGUCUGAAUCGCAUCCAACAAAUGAUUUGUAACAACGAAACAUGAUCUAACCUUCUCUACACAUGCCAAAAACUUCCUUCCACUGUCCAUAGAUUCAAACGCAACUAGCUUCACGCAUGGACAUUGAUGGUGACAACGAGCAGACAGAUCUUCAGCCACCCCGCUCCAUUCGUUGCAACUGAAGGUCCUAGGGAACUACAAGAGGAAGAAAUGACUCAAAUCGACCGCCGGAUAAAAAUCCUUCAUUCGAAGUCAUAACCCGAGAGAGAAGAGAUGCAUACCCGGGUGGUGGAGUCGUAGGAGGAGGAGGAACCGCUAGAGAGGUCUUUGAAGAUGACCAUGGCGACCCCGACGGUAGGAUGCGAGACGGCGAGAGCGAGGAAGCAAGCAAGGAAGCGGCUAUAGCUUAGGAAGGAAGGGGGAAAUAGGGGAAAUGUGACUUGUGGCCGGGGAGAAAAGGGGAUGGGGAGGGGGAGGGUAGAUAUUUCGGCGGUAGGCCAAAAAUUUGAAAUGUGGAGGGAAACUUUGAGCGCGGUGCCGCCGGACACCAUUUACUUUGAAUGAUAGUGUGCAUCGCAAACGAUUCUUCUGCUUAACACGCAUGGGAUGAGUUUGAAAAUUGAAAUUUUGGUGGAAAUUUCCACACGUACGUCAUUGCAUAAUUUUACAUCGCUUGCUAAUUUGGGCACACAAAAGAGCGUACAGCACACAGACCAGAUUUACUGAAUCGAGCAAUUUUAGUAAUUAAACAGAGACAGUUCACCUAAACAUUGCUCUAACAAAAGACCAGCAUUAAAAACAAAGCCUAAGUACCAAUAAUUUUAACAAGUCCGCCGCUGCGCCGGCCUAUGCAUCGCCGGUGUGAGAUGAGAUGUCGAUGACUUGUCCUGGUGACAUGCCACCGUUGGUGGACUCCGUGUCCCCCCUGCUGAAGUCGACCGCAUCCUCGUCCUCGUCCUCGUCCUCGGCGCCGCCCUCAAGGUUGUCGUACUUGUAGUAGUGGCUGCGCUAGAGCUCGUGUUGGUACUCCACCGCUGAUUCCUUAACGGGCAGACUCUUCUCUACCUCGACAUGGGCCACGCGCAACUCCUCCUCCCGGCGCUCCUCGAUCUCCGCAGCCUCCUGCAUCUCCAGCUCCCGCUCGACGACCCCAUGAGGAAGCAGGUGCUCCAUGGCCACCGCCGCCUUUUCGAACGUGGGUUGCAUGCUGGAUUCCGAGGUGGCCUGGAAUAUCUUGGCGUGGAUGGCCUCGACCCAAGCCAGGGCGACAUCGAUGGCACGAAUGGCAGCUUGAGCACUCUUAGCGUUUGUAGCCGCCAUCACAGCAGCAGCUGUAGCCAUCUCGGCUGUUGCAGCUGCCUUGUCGGCUGCCGCAGACGCCCUCUUGGCAGAAGCGGCCGCACUCAAUCCGGAUGCGGCAGCACUCUUGAUGUAGGAGAUCGCGCUCUCGGCACAGGCGGCAGCGCUCGAGGGGGAUGUGGCCAUCGUAUGGGCCUUCACGAAGCGUUUCCAUGGCGUCAUCUUUGCAAGAAGGGGGUGCGGGAAUGGGGAUCGGGAUUUGUGGAUUCGGGGGUUGCUGGCACUGGAGGCGAAGCUUAAGGAGGAAGACUUAAGUAGGCCCAGAUUUUUUCAUCGCAAACGAUUCCUAGAAAACAACUGUGUGUGAUGUUGUGGAUAUUUUUUUAUUACCUGUGAAAGGCGAAUUUGGAGUAAAGUGGCAACGGAUGGUGUUUUAAAUGUACGAGAAUUUUUUUAGUACUAAUACAACUGUCAUGUCAAAUUUUGAAAAAUUCCAGGGGUCAUUUGACCUUUUAAGACAUUUAAGUGAUUUUCUAGCCAUUUAACGACCGUAAUUUAAAUUUUGAACUACAUGUACAUACAACAGCUAACCAAAACGGUUUGAAAAGUCAUAUUUUGUGUACUUGUGUGCGAUUUAAUUUCACGUGCAGUAAAUUGGAAGGAAUUUUCAAACAUAUUGGUCUAACGGCUAUGACACAAUUAAGCAUGGAGUGCCAUGGCAUUUAAAUUCCAAAAAAUUAAAAACAUGAAACCUUGCUUGAGGUAAUAUCAUACCACCAAGGUGAUGUGGUACAAAAAUUUGCCGGUUUGACGAAAGUUUGGACACACGCCCCUCACAAACCGGAGCAACUCACUAGAAGGCUCGUGGUUUCGAAAGGGAACAAUGCAUGUUUGCUGACGAACGGCCGAUAGCUUCCUCAUACGGCCUUCAAAAAUUUUCUACGUGUAAUGUGCACUGAUACUAACUGUCAUGUGUAAAUUUGUAAAAUUUCAGGGAUCAUUUGACCUUUUAAAGAGAUUUAAGUGAUUUCCUAGCCAUUUAAUGAACAUACAUAAUUCAAAUUUGAACUAGAUGUACAUGCAACGGCUAACUAUAACGGUUUGAAAAAUCAUAUUUGUGUACUUGUGUGCGAGUUAAUUCCAAGUGCAGUAAAUUAGAAGGAAUUUUCAAACAUAUUGGUCUCACGGCAUGGACACAUGCAUGUACAUACAUGGAGUGUCAUGGCAUUGUUAUUCCAAAAAAUUAAAAAAUGAUGAGAAAAAUAUGAAACCUUGUUUCAUGUAAUGUCAUGCCACCAAGAUGAUGUGGUACAAAAAUUGGCUUGCUUGACGAAAGUUUGGACACACACCCCUCACAAACCGGAGCAACUCACUAGACGGCUCGUGGUUCCGAGAGGGAACAAUGCAUGUUUGAUGAUGAACGGCGGAUAGCUUCCUCUUACGGCCUUCAAAAUGUUUCUACAUGUAAUUUGCACUAAUACUAACUGUCAUGUGAAAUUUUGGAAAAAUUGAGGGGUCAUUUGACCUUUUAAAGAGAUUUAAGUGAUUUCCUAGCCAUUUAAUGAUCGUACGUAAUUCAAAUUUGAGCUAGAUGUACAUGCAACGGCUAACCAUAAUGGUUUGAAAAAUCAUAUUUAUGUACUUGUGUGCGAGUUAAUUCUAUGUGCAGUAAAUUAGAAGGAAUUUUCAAACAUAUUGGUCUCACGGCAUGGACACAUGCAUGUACAUGCAUGGAGUGCCAUGGCAUUGUUAUUCCAAAAAAAUAAAAAAUGAUCAAAAAAAGUGAAACCUUGCUUGAUGUAAUGUCAUGCCACCAAGAUGAUGUGGUACAAAAAUUGGCUUGCUUGACAAAAGUUCGGACACACACCCCUCACAAACCGGAGCAACUCAAUAGAAGGCUCGUGGUUCCGAGAGGGAACAAUGCAUGUUUGAUGACGAACGGCGAAUAGCUUCCUCUUACGGCCUUCAAAAAUUUUCUACGUGUAAUGUCCACUCAUACUAACUGUCAUGUGAAAUUUGAAAAAAAUUUAGGAGUCAUUUGACCUUUUAAAGAGAUUUAAGUGAUUUCCUAGCCAUUUAAUGACCAUACGUAAUUCAUAUUUGAACUAGAUGUACAUGCAACGACUAACCAUAACGGUUUGAAAAAUCAUAUUUGUGUACUUGUGGGCGAGUUUAAAAAUUAUCAGACGAUGUAAAUAUCUAGUGUUCAAAAAAGAAAAUCUAAAAUCUGGCAAAACAACCAGCCCCACACGAGUAGCACUCUAUUUCGCGCCUCGAGUUUUGGAAGGUGGGUGGCGGGCUUUAUUAAUCAGACACGGUUCUGCAUCGGGAAUCAUCAGCUAUUAUGUUCACACACGGAUUUUGCUGCGGGAAUCAUGUGUAAUUCACAUAGUACUCAUAAAUUCCGGCGACCGGCGCGUGUAGUGUUCCCGGCGAUCUAGAUUUCGGCCGCCAAUAAAUACUACCUUGCUCCCGUCGUCCCGCCUGCAUUCUCAUCUAGAUCCUCCCCUUGCUCGCCCUCUCUCUCUCUCUCAAAUCUCUGCCAUGGCUCCGCCGGUCUGCCCACGCGCCGACGAGGAGUCGCCACCCACCAAGGAGGCUCACUCGAAGAGCAGCGACAAGGACACCUACGCGCCGCUAGACAAGGCUGCGCCGGACCCCCCAACUUUGGAUUGGUUUUUGGGCCAGUACGAUCUUUGUCUUUGGAAGUCGCCGCCGCCAGCUGAGAAAGCCCGGCAAGUGGCUUUCAAGAAGGAGAUGGUGGAGGAGGAUGCCAGGUACCAGGCGGCUUGUGAAGCCCGUGAUGCCGCCUGGAAAAAGGAGGCGGUGGAGCUUUGGGGGCGGGCGCGUCGUCGCGCGGAGAAGGUGUACGAAGACAGGUACUUCGCGAGGAAGGCCAGAGGCACUAGGCGCCUCGUCGCUGCGUGGAGCUGGGCCGAUAAGCUCCAGCAUGCCACCGCGAGGAGCUCCCAUGGGCGCCCAACGAAAUGGCAAGAUCGUUCACGCGCGUUCGCCUGCAAGAGGCAGAUCGACACGUCAAGCGCUGCGAGGCGGAGGAGGCGGAGUACUGCCUCCGCUCUGGGAAGACGCCACGCACCAGGGAGAUGAUGGCGAGGGGCUGCCGAAAUACUGGCCCCUGGAGGGAUUAUUAGUUUUAGUAUUGUUCGUUUUCAAUUUUAUGCAUUGUACCUAGUAGUUAAGUAUCAUCACGUAUAUGUGAUGAUAUAAUAUAUAUUUUGUGAUGAACUAAUGAACAAUUAAUAUUAUACAUAUUAUGAGUUCCAUUUUCUAUCUGUUUUUGUAUACUAAUUUGAAUCUAUCUGUUAUCAUCCACAUAUACAGAAUGGAAAGUGUAUAAACACACAUUGAAACAGAACAUAUAAGAACGGAAAACAGAGUACACACAUUGAAACAGAGCAAUAAAUAGAGCAAUAGUAUGAUUGUUGUGAAUACAUAGCUAUCCACUCGAAACGACCAACAAAAUAAAACGCGUCCAUGAGACCAUGACCAACACCCCUUGCCUACGGUAGCUCUUGGCUCUGCCUGAACUCGUGCAGGUGUUCGUCCAAGCGGUCGACAUGCUCGCGGUAUAUCUGGAGCGCGAUCUCGAGCUCCAAGUUGGCUCUUUCAUCGAAGAUCACCACCUCGAGGAUGCGACGGCCAUGUUCCUCUACUGCGCCCAGGUGGACACCUGGGCCAAGGAGGCGGUUGAGCCUAUAGACCAGCACGUUGGCAUCAAGCGGGCCACGGACAAGGCGAACGGCGCGACCCAUGCGAACGGCGCGGCGGGCGUCCGGUGCAAGUACGGCGCGGCCAGCCUUUGGUGCAAGUAAGGCGCAGUGGGCUUGUGCCCACUCCUGGCGAAGAAUGGGGGUACUGACGGGACGUGUACCCAGCUGCAACGCCCUGUGGAGAGCAGGCAAGCGCCGAUGGAUCCUCUCUUGCUGUGCAGCGUGCCUCGCCUCUCGCUCUGCGGCGCUCCAACGCUCUCGCCGUACGGCGAGCCGCAGCCUAUCAGUGCGGACACGCCUAGCUUGCUCUGCGGCACGCCAUCGAUCAUGUUGUGCAACGAGCUGCAGCCUCUCGACGCUGACAUGCCUAUCUUGAUCCGCGGCGCUGAAGCGCCAUACGCCAAAGGUCUGCUCAACCCUGGCGAUGAUGCGCAUCAUGGCGUCGUCCAUCGCGUUGCUGCGGAGCGUCGCGGCCUCAACGGGUCGUGGCGCCUUCUGGUUUUCCUCGUCGAUGAGAUUGAUGGCAGAGGUGGCGCUUUGGUGCGUUGGCAUGCUUGGAAAAGGUGGAUGUGCUACAGGCUGCGCUUGUUGCCUUCGUGCGCCGCGCCACGCCUAGGUUUAUGUGCAAUAUCACUGGGUGGCAAGAAACAAGUGAGGGAAUUGCGGGAAAUGGUGGCGUGUUCAUAGAACGCCAUCAAUUAAUGGAAACUUACAAUAUAAAGGAACAUCGAGCUAGCACAAGAAGUAGAUAAUGAUGAGAUGAACAUGGACCACACUAGGUAACCCGUCGGUGAUGAAUUCAUCAAUCGCAAACGGUUGUACACUAGCAAGCAUUUGCCCACAACACACACGGCUUAUUCCAUCACAAACAGGUCGGAUGGAUCAACUGUAUGCCACGUAUACACAUCGUCAAAAAGUAAUGCGAUAGACCUUCUUUAACAUAUGUUAAAAAUAAAAUAAAAAUAAAAAACAAGGACCUUGAGGUUAAAUUAGCUGAGGGAAUGGGUCAUUUCGGUUAUUUGACCAAUAUGACCCAUCGUAUCAGUUAAUUUAACAUCAACACAACUUCUCAUCCAGUCACCCAUCCCAUGGCUGCUCCAGCCUGAGCACACUUAACUUGAGAGUUCUCUUAGAUGAGCUACUGGUGGAACAGCUAGUCCUUGCUGAUAUAGGAUGCCUCUUCGCAUCCUUAUGGCGUAUCUGGAUGACCGUCCAUCCCCCAAUGGCCAAUACAUGUUGUGUAGACAUAGCAUAUCACAUACGUCUUAUUAGAAGCAAUCGUCUGUGUUAUUAUCGGUCUUCGCACAAUUUCUGAUUACAAACCUGUUUGCCACGUAUCACACACAUCUUGUUAUAUUGAACCAUUUCUGUUCUCUUGUCUCAACGCAAACAGUUCAUCCAAGUGAAUCGCAUGCCGUAUAUCGCACACACCUUGAUCUGCCUGACCGUUUCUUCUGUGUUGCCUAAUCACAAACAGUUUAUCCUAGUGAACCGUAUGAUGUGUAUCGCACACGCCUUCAUCUGCCUGCCCGUUUCUUUUGUUCCACCUAAUCGCAAACAGUUAAAUGAACUGAACCGUAUGCCCUACAUCGCACACGCAAGUAAAAUCUGAACCGUGUUUGAUGCAUCCGUCAUCGCAAACGUUUUGGACAUUUUUGACGGUUCUCUGACACCACCAUUUGCAAUUAUUGCAUCGCACACAGUUUAUCGAAGGGUCUCUGAUCAUAGUGUCGCGUUAGCAGCAUUCUGCAGCAGUGUAUAUUCAUGAAAUUAUAAUAGGUUCAGAUCUGAAAUCAUGGCACUCGGGCCCUAGUGACAAGCAUUAAGCAUGACAAAGUCAUAGCAACAUCAAUCUUAGAACAUAAUGGAUACUAGGGAUCAAACCCUAACAAAACUACCUCGAUUACAUGGUAAAUCUCAUCCAACCCAUCACCGUCCAGCAAGCCUAUGAUGGGAUUACUCAUGCACGGCGAUGAGCAUCACGAAAUUGGUGAUGGAGGAUGGUUGAUGAUGACGAUGGCGAUGGAUUCCCCUCUUCGGAGCCCCGAACGGACUCCAGAUCAGCCCUCCCGAGGAAGAACAGGGCUUGGCGGCGGCUCCGUAUCGUAAAACACGAUGAAUCCUUCUUUCUGAUUUUUUUUCUCCUGAACAUGAAUAUAUGGACUUGGAGUUGAGGUAGGUGAAGCUCCAGGGGGCCCAUGAGGCAGGGGGUGCGCCCAGGGGGGUAGGGCACGCCCCCACCCUCAUGGAUAGGGUGUGGGCCCCCUUUUGCUGAUUCUUUCGCCAAUAUUUUUUAUUAAUUCCAAAAUGUGUCUCCGUGAAGUUUCAGGUCAUUCCGAGAACUUUUAUUUCUUGCACAAAAAUAACACCAUGGCAAUUCUGCUAAAAAUAGCGUCAGUACGGGUUAGUUCCAUCCAAAUCAUGCAAGUUAGUGUCCAAAACAAGGGCAAAAGAGUUUGGAAAAGUAGAUACGUUGGAGACGUAUCAGCCCAAAAGUGGUGGACUGUUUCCUAAGGUUGUUGUCGCACAUACAUUAGGUCGUAUAUAUAUGGGGGGACCUGAGUUGCUUGGAGAAUAUUGAUUGUGGUGGGUGGGUGGUUUAAAAUUUGAAUCCUAUCCCACAUCUGUAUUUGGAGAUUGAAGGAUCUCCAAGACGACCGGUUUGGGUCCAGGGAGAUCCAAGGGCUCCUACGACCCUGUAUCUGAGCCAGAGUCCAGAAGACGUGAAGUCCCAUCCGAAGGGAGAGUACCCGGCUCGAGGGAUUCGAAGACCCGAACAUACUUGGUCUUCAACAUAGGGAGGGAAGUGUCUUCAACCUGUUCCUCAAUGACUGCUACGAAGUGGGUGAUCGGCGGUGAUAAAUUUCCCUCUGGUCAAGCUUGAGACCGAUACGAACAUAGUCCGUUGAGACCCCUAGGGUGGCGAUGCGGUCCAACAGCUCGUUCAAAGAUAAGACAUCUGUCGGAUUGAUCUUUUUGGAAUACUUGAGGCUAGUGCGAAGACGGUGUUCAGCGGUCGUAGAGGGUGAUGUGGGCUUGACGGCCGUACAAGCUCCUACGAUGAAACCGCCGAGCUGGAGGGUCUGCCUAGAAGUCAGGCUCCUUCCAGAAGUGAUAUUGUCGUUUAUGACUAGGCGAACCAUAGAUUGCUUUUGUAGACACCACGGGAGAGCUCUCAAUGAAAUCACCAAUGUCGGUCUCAAAACCGGCGGAUCUCGAGUAGGGGGGCCCAAGUUGUGCGUCUAAGGAUCGAUGGUAACAAUGGACAAAGGGACACAAUGUUUACCCAGGUUCGGGCCCUCUUAAAUGAGGUAAAACCCUACUCCUUCUUGAUUAUAUUCGAAGAGUAUAGAUAUUACAAGAGUUGAUCUACCUGGAGAUCAUGGUUGCUAAACCCUAGAUGUCUAGCCUAUGAAUAUUCGGAUGAUGGUAAUGAUGAUAGCCUCCACGGACUAAAUCCUCCGGUUUAUAUACACACCAGAGGGACCUAGGGUUUGUACAAGGCCGGUCGGUUCACAAGGGAAGGAAACAAUACACCCGGACUCUAAUAUUGCCGUUCACGUAUGGAGAAGUCCCACCCAGACACGGAGGAUGAUCUUUAGCUUGAUCUUUACGGCCCAUUCAACCCGGCCCAUAUUCCUGGGCCGGACACUUGAGGACCCCCGAGUCCAGGACUCCCUAAAUGGCCUCCUGGAGCCUCAUCUCGGGCACCCCGUCUGUGAUCCAUUUUCUCAAUGUCUUGGGUGUGCGAGCUAGCCUAGUAUGUACAGUCUGAAUCGCAUAAUUACUGGCAACAGGCUUGCUCCAAGCAUUAGCAACCUUCCGAAAACAAUCCAACCUUAGCUAAACGAUCAUGAAAUGGAAUCCUUCGAAAGGUCUAGGAUCCAUCCUCUUUAGUAGCAUGGGGCAGUGGCUAGACACAUUGGUGGAUGUCAGGUUCAGCUAAAAACUUGGGAAAAGAAGCUCCCACUCCUUACUAAUCAAAAAAUGAUCAAUCUUGGUGAGAGUAUUGUUGGUUCUAUCACUGGCCCAAGUAAAUCUUCUCCCUAUGAGGUGGAAUUCCCCAAGGUCCAGAUCAUCGACAAUGCGUCUAAAAUGGAAGAAUAUUUAGAGCCCAGCAACAAUCACUUCAGGCGUGGAGAUAUUAGCUCAAGCAAAAUCUCAAGUUGUUGCAAUUCAAAAUAAAGGAGAAGCAUGUGCAUGCAUUCACACAGUGGAUAGAUAAUAACCUGUAAUUCAUGGUUUGUCCCCUAGAUCAGGCAUUGGUUAGCCUCUAAAAUAGUCUUUCGGCCUGUAGAAGCUUUUUGUUCUUCUUUUCCUCCUUUUCCCUGUUAUUUUGUGGUUGUUCAUAUAUGAAAAUUACUGUAGAACGAUUGUACUAUGGUUCGCGGGUCAAAAAAAUACAUGCUUAUACAUAUAGCAACGAAAAACACCAUAGAAUAAUACAAUCCAGGGCUUGAAAGGGCCCCUUUGGUGUAUUGUUCUUCAAAUGUCAGCUAAGAGCAUCUACAGUCAGGCGUCCAAAACCGGCCUCAAACGCCCGGGCAGUCCGUACGGUCACUGAUCGGUCACGAAAAUCAGACUUAAACGGGCUUCAAAAAUUCAGGCUGAUCGGGACCCCUCAUAUCCAGCCCAAAUAUGAGGCGGAUAUGGGGGUGCCCUGGCGUAUUCAGGCACAUCCGCCACGUUAGCCCGGCCCACUCCAACCCCACAAAUAUCCCCACAUCCGGAAAACCCUAGACACCGGUCAAUACGAACUCCACUUCACUCCCUUCUUCAUCCACUCCACUUCUGAUCCCUUCCCCUCUGAUCCGAUGGCCGGUGACGGAAGCAACGACGGAUCCGGUUCAGAAUCCGAUGGGUCGAGCAUCGACGUGGAAGAGGUGGCCCUAAGCAUUGCAUUGCGGAAGUUGCCGAUCGAGCAAGGUGGCCCCAGUAGCGGCGGAUCUUCUUCCUCGGCGUUCGUCACCCGUCGACACAGUGUCGUGUCGUUGCCGGCCCUUCCCACCCGCCGUGUAGCCCCGCCAACUUUGCUCUGCUCCACUUCGGCAGCUCUCCUUCGCUCCGCCAGGUACGCCGGCCACCUCCGCCAUCCUCUGGUCCGAAAGUGGUACCCGACCAUCGCUGGAUCCUCGUGCACGCACCGGGGCCGACACGCACAUAGACGCCCGAGUUCGAGGCACGUGCAGCCUGGCACGAGCGGCAGUGGGCGAGGGAGAGGGGGAGGUGAUGUCGGUAUGCCGUUCGCCCUCGAGCACGCCGAUGGUGUUGGAGUUGUGUCGAAUAUUGUGUGCUAGGCAGGUUACAAUUGGACUCUGAGUAGUAUUGUGUUUAGAUAGGAUAUGGAGUCAUGUCCUAUUAGGACAUUUGUAUCCUAGCCCUCUUAUAUAUAGUGGGGGUAGACACACGAUGUAACCUAUGCCAACAUAAUAGUACAUAAACACAGCGGAAGCCGGCGGCAUGUGCCGGCGUCCAAGGCGACCGGGUGCGGUAUUGUAGCGGUGUCAUGGGGAGGAGCGCCCAUAGUUAGGCCCCGGAAAUGUAGCCAUGUCGGUGAACCUCGUUAACAAAUUUUGGUGUCAUGCUCGUGUGAUUGCUUGGUCCUCGGAUGAUCAACGCUAUGCCUCGAAUUUAUUCUAACAAGUGGUAUCAUGAGCUAGGUUGUUCGGAGGUUGCAGAUUGUUGAUCAAGAGGAGGAAGAAUAUCGACAGAAUCUGAUGCGGUCGUGAUACAGGACGAUGGACAUUGGCGAGUUGCAAUCUAAAGAAGAGUUGGUCGUGUUGUAAUCUUCAAGCAGCAAUCGGAACGUGCGUGUGCUUGUGGCAGCAUCAGGCGAGAUGUGCAACGAUCGGAUCAAUCGGGUGAGCGUAUUGCAGUGGCGGAGACAGAUUAAUGGGGGCAUGUGCUAGCAAGCGGCGGCGGUGGCGCACAAGGCCUAGCGGCUAGCGGGGAGCACAGUCCAAGUAGUGCGUGGCACUUGAAUCCAAGUCUCGGGUGUGCAAGCUAGAAAGAUGCUGGAAGUUACAAGGCGUGCCAGAUUUGUUUUGAAACAAAGAGGGACCGAGUCCCAAGAGGAGACGUGAUCUCCUGGUCUUCGAGCUGGGCUGCUGCAGCCGUGCACGCGCACAUAGAAAGUGGCAGCGGCUAUAGGCAGAUAAGUCACACAACAGAUCAAAUAGGCGAAUAAAAUCCAUUGAUACGUAUACAUUGGUAGCAGGAGGUUUUGGCAAAGCAAUUACUAGCAUUGAAAGUUAUGCCUGGGAGCUAAUACGCGUGAGUACAAGAAGGAUUUUUUGUAUGAAUUUGCUACUGUUGCAUCUUGUGUACUUGAGCACGUGUUGGUAGCUUGGUUAUUUUUUCACAAGAUCAGCUGUACGAAGAAUCAUGACGCCAUCUUGCAUCGGGUUUGAGGUGAAGAAGUUCAACGGAGCUGGAAGCCUUGGGUUAUGGCAGACAAGAGUGAAAGAUUCGUUGGCACAACAUGGAUGCUUGAAGGUGUUGCAAGAAUUCAUGACAACUAUGAUGGUGUUAUCAUGUGAUGGAUGGAAAUUCAAUGAAUGAUCUGGGAGCCUCGGUUGGACUGGAUAGUCUGACAGAUCGACGCAAGUCGGUUGGUACAGAAGACGAUGGUGGGAUCAGCGAUGACGACAUAGGAGCGUGAUGUUGAUGGUGACCAAAUUCUGAGGCAUGGAAACACGUGGCGCAGGCCCGAGGGCUUGUGUGACUUCGAUAAGACUAUGGAACGGGGUUGAUUCAAGGUUGUAAGGGCAUAUUUAUCCCUAAGGUGUUUUGGUGAUUGAUGGCAAUGCUUUUGCAGACUAAUCGUGUGCGUUGAGUUUUUCAGAGAUUCAUCCUUUGGCAUGAGACGAUUCCCUCCCUUCGGUGUGUUAUUCAAGACGGUGGAACUCUUUCGUUUCUAUGUUGGUGGACUAGUUCCGUAGGAGUCACCGUACUAUCAAGAGGGGAUCCGCUUUGGUAAGGCUAGGGUGGAAUCAACACGUACACAUCCUUAUCGCACCCACUAAACCUUCCCGCUUCAAUGGAGUACUCUUUCCCCUCUCUGUUUGCUUUGUCUGGUCCUAGUGGUAGUACCGCGGGCCACAACGGUAGUACCGCCCAAGCGCAACAAGCGGUAGUACCGCUCCUCAGCGGUAGUACCGCUUGGAGCCUUCCGCCGUAGUACCGCUGCGACUCCGUGCUCCUACUGCCUCGACUCGAGGGCCCCUUUUCUCGUGUCGGGUUUUGUGGCACUAGCUGCGGCAGUAGAGGUGGUAGUACCGCUCCCAAGCGGUAGUACCGCCCUUACCACCGUGGUAGUACCGCUCCGGGUCCAGGACCUCGCUCCUUUCCUUUGCGCGGCAGUACCGCUAGGUGGGACGGUAGUACCGCUGGCUCAGCGGUAGUACCGCUCUCUGCGAGGCUGCUUGGGGGGUAACGGUUGGAUUGUUCCCCCCACUAUAUAAGGGGGUAUUCUUCCACAAAGUUGACCUACCUCUUCCCCCAAAAGCUUCAUUGUUGCUCCAAGCUCCAUUUUUGCCCGAUCUCUCUCCCUUGCCAAUCAAACUUGUUGAUUUGCUCGGGAUAGGUUUAGAAGGCCCCGAUCUACACUUCCACCAAGAGAAAUUUGAUUCCCCCACUAAUCCCUAGUGGAUCCUGUUACUCUUGGGUGUUUGAGCACCCUAGACGGUUGAGGUCACCGUGGAGCCAUAGUCCAUUGUGGUGAAGCUUCGUGGUGUCGUUGGGAGCCUCCAAUUAAGUUGUGGAGAUAGCCCCAACCUUGUUUGUAAAGGUUCUGUCACCGCCUUCAAGGGCACCAAUAGUGGAAUCACGGCAUCUCGCAUUGUGUGAGGGCGUGAGGAGAAUACGGUGGCCCUAGUGGCUUAUUGGGGAGCAUUGUGCCUCCAUACCGCUCUAACGGAGAUGUACUUCCCCUCAAAAGGAAGGAACUUCGGUAACACAUCCUCGUCUCCAUCGGCUCCACUCUUGGUUAUCUCGUGUCUUUACUUGUGCAAGCUUAUUUGUGCUGUAUCCCUUGCUUGCUUGUGUACUUAUUGUUGUUGCAUCAUAUAGGUUGCUCACCUAGUUGCAUAUUUAGACAACCUACUUUGAUGCAAAGUUUAAUUUGGUAAAGAAAAGCUAAAAAUUGUUAGUUGCCUAUUCACCCCCCCCUUAGUCAACUAUAUCGAUCCUUUCAAUUAGUAUCAGAGCCUCGUCUCUUUAUUAAGGACUUUGUCGUCCAAAGAGUAUGGUUGACAGCAUAGACGGUGGGGAGGAGCACUCCGGUGUGAAUCUGAUCUCGUCUAUGGGUGAUGGGGGAACCACGGUGUCCCGUGAGGAAUUCAAUGUGGCUUUGGACACAUUGAAAACCUCCAUGACAACCGAGGUUGAAAGAAUGUUUAAUAAAUUCUUAGAAGGACUUAAACUAUCUACCUCGCCAUUGAAAGUGGGUGAUCCCACUAACAAGGUGACGGAUGCUAACUCCGACAAGGGGGAAGCUACUAGUGAAAAGGAACCUUCUACUAGUGGUAGAAAUGGCACCGGCAUCUUUGCCCAUGUGGCACCUCCAGUUUAUGGAGGACCGAUUCCUUCUACUCAUUUAAAUCAUGUCGGGCCUCCUCCUAAGAUUGUGAAAAAUGAGGACUUUGAUUCUUGGGUGUAUCGCUUCAAGCGUCAUUUUAAUCAUGUGAAUACUAACCUUUGGAGAAUCAUUGAAGAAGGUUUUCAUCCACAUGACCGAAGCAACUUCACCACUAGAGAAGCCGUGGACCAUCAAUUCAAUGAGAAUACUCUCUUCAUCAUUCAAGAUGCAGUUCUUCCCGAAGAUCUUCCUCAUCUUCGACCCUUCGCCAUGGACAAAGAUGCAUGGCAUUGUGUUGUUUCCCUCUAUAAGGGAAGUGCAAGCAUUCAACGCUCCAACUAUGAAGUGGUGCAAGAUGAAGCCGAUGAGUUUGCAAUGAAAGAAGAUGAAGAACCUCGUGAGCUCUUCCGGAGAGUCACCAAACUUGCAGUCUCACUCCGAGAUCAUGGGAGCAAGGACACGGAUGACAAUUGGAUUAAGCGCAAGUUUCUUAAAGCAAUGAUGCCUUACCACAAGGCCUUGUCCUCUGUCAUCCAUCAAAGACUGGACUUCCACUCCUUGACCUCAGAUGAAGUGUUGGAUGAGUUUGUGGCAAUGAGAAUCUUGGACAAGACCACCGACAAUGCGGUGUUGCACUCUCAAAGGGUAAAGAAGCCCAACCUUUCCUUGAAGGCCAAUGUUAUUGUAGAAGAAGAGGAAAAAGAGGAAGAUGAGGAGAGCAACCACGAAGAUACAAAAUAUGACUAUCAUGAACACAUGGCUCUUGCGUGAAGGCAAUUUUGGAGCAAGAAGAACACAAGUCCCAACUUCAACAAGAACAACUCAAGUGGGCUCAAGGGCAAGCAAUGUGUGAGAACAUGUCACAAUUGUGGCAAUGUGAGCCAUUUUGUUGUGGAUUGCCCUUAGGAGAAGCGGGAAGACAAUGGUGGCAAGCUCAUACGAAAGGACAAAGCCAAGUCUUUCCCUAACAAGAACAACUUCACCAAAAAGACUCCUACUCGAGGGUUGGUGGUUCAAGAAGAAUACCAUGAGGAUGACAAUGAUGAUGAAGAUAAUGAAGCCAUGGCCAUGGCCUCCGUUUCCAUUGCCACAACUCCACGGGUGUCCCUCUUCGACUCAGCCAAUGAGAACAUCACCGCCAAGUGUCUCAUGGCUAAAGACACCAACAAGGUAACCCCCAACAUCAAAACCACCAUCAUUACUAAUCCCUCCUUGACGGAUGGCAUUGAUGAAAGUGAGGGAUCUAAUGAGGAAGUUAAUGAAUUUGAGUCUUUUAUGAGUAAGCUCAAGGGCAAAUCCAAGAAGCACUUUGUUGCUCUCUUGGAACAACUUGGUGAAGUCAAUGACAUGAUCUAGGCUCACGAAGAAACCAUCUCUAAGAUGGAAGGUCAUAGUCGUGACUAUGUCGAUGAGAUAUCGGAUCUCUCUAAUGCUCUUGAGGAAGAGCGUGGUCAUCGUUUGGCUCUUGAGGAGUCACACAAUGAUGACCAUGCUAAGUUAAAGAAAGAUCUUGAGCAUGCUCUUGUUGUGUCUCGUGUGCUAACUUCUGAGAAGGCUAAACUUGGUGUUGACCAUGCUAGACUCAAGGAGGAGUUUGAUUUACUUGACAAGUCCCACAAGGUCUUGAAGGGUGCUCAUGCUAGCCUCAAGGAGUCUCAUGCUCAACUCCAAGUUAAGCUAACCAAAGAAAAGGAAACCUUUCCUCAUAUGGUAUUAAUUGAUAAUGCAAAUGCCACUAACCCAUGUUGUGAGCAUGUGCAUCUUGUGGAGGAGAAUGCCAAGUUGAAGGAUCAACUUGAGAAAGGCCUUGUGACAUGCAUUCAAGGUGAGAAGAACCUCAACGACCUUUUGAGCAAUCAAAAGGAAGUUGUGGCCAAGGAGGGAGUUGGGUUCGCACCCAAGUCCAAGAACAAGAACAAGAACGACAAGACCAAACGACCUCCUCCUCUCAAGAAAACUUUCGUAAAAGAGGGAGAGGGUGCUCCUAAGGAGAAGAGGAACAAUGUGAAGGGUGGUAAUGUCAAAAAGGGCAAAACCACCUCCUCCAACAAAGCCGGCGACUUUAACCCUUCUUAUGUGUUGUGUCGUGCUAGUGAUGGGCAUGUUUAUGCUAAAUUUGUUGGUUCUCCUUAUGAGUACAUUGAAUGGUAUAUUUGGGUUCCUAAGACCUUUGUUACUAACAUCAAAGGACCCAUUACUAAAUGGGUACCUAAAACCAAGCAUUGAUCUCUUGUAGGUGUUUGCUUCCGGUGGGGGAUCAUGGUUGCUCGAUAGUGGAGCAACAAAUCAUAUGACCGGGAGCAAGGACUUGGUGGUGGACAUGCAAAAGAUCCCAUCUAUGCCCACCAAUGUCGAGUGGGGUGAUGCCUCAGCUUCUAAGGUAUGGGUCUUGGCAAGGUUGUCAUUUCUCAAGAUCUAACGAUCGAGAAAGUCAUGCUUGUUGAGUCCCUUGCGUACAAUUUACUUUCCGUUCGUCAACUUGCACUUAUGGGCUUUGCCACUUUCUUUGAUAUUGAUACCGUGGCCCUCUUGUGGAGCAAGACUCUUAAAGUAGCAUUUCUUGGGCAUGUCGAGAACGGUCUCUAUGUGAUUAACUUUUCGGAGCGACCCACUAAGACUGCGACAUGCCUAAUGGCUAAAGUUGAUGUGGGAUGGCUUUGGCAUCACCGUUUAGCCCACGUCAAUAUGAGAUCUUUGCAAAGUCUUCUCAAGGGGGACCAUGUCCGUGGACUAACAAAUGUUAGUUUUGCCAAAGAUCGUGCUUGUAGUGCUUGUAUCGAAGGAAAGCUUCAUGAGAAGGCUCACCCUCCCACGACUAUCAUCUACUCGAAGAGACCCUUGGAGCUCCUUCACAUGGACCUCUUUGGGCCUCCAUCCUGUGAUAGUCUUGGGGGUAGAAAGUAUUGCUUGGUGAUUGUGGAUGAUUAUUCAAGAUACACUUGGGUAUAUUUCUUCAAGAGGAAGAGUGAAACUCAACAAACCGUCAUCGACUUUGCAAAUGAAGCUCAACGUCAGCAUGAUGCAAAGAUCUUGACAAUAAGAAGUGACAAUGGCACCGAGUUCAAGAACUACACCUUGGAUGAGUUUCUUAGUGAUGAGGUGAUUAGGCAUCAAUAUGCUGCACCAUAUACCCCUCAACAAAAUGGUGUUGCGGAGAGGAAGAACCAGACGUUGAUGGAUGCGGCAAGGACCAUGAUGGCGGAGUUCAAGUCUCCAUACAACUUUUGGGCUGAAGCCAUCAACACCGCAUGUCAUGCAUCCAAUCGACUCUAUCUCCGCAAAGGCUUGAACAAGACUCCUUAUGAAAUACUUACCGGUAACAAGCCCAACCUCAAGUACUUCUAGGUGUUCGGGUGUAAGUGUUUCAUUAUCAAGAAAGGUGUCCGUUUGUAUAAAUUUGAGGCUAGAGCCUAUGAGGGCAUAUUUGUUGGUUAUGUUACAAACUCUCAUGCUUACCGUGUCCUCAACAAGUCCACCGGACUCAUUGAGGAGACGUGUAACGUGGAGUUUGACGAAAAUAAUGGCUCCCAAGUGGAGCAAAGUGGUACUUGUGAUGUAGGUGAUGGAAUUCCUCCCCAAGCCAUAAGAAGAAUGGGUGUGGGUCAUAUCCUACCCAUUGAGGAACCCCUUGUGGCCGAAGGAGAAGGACAAUGCUCCACUCAAGUGGAUCCAUCACCAACCCAAGACCCACUCGCUUUCGAAGAACAAAGUGAAGGCCCUCAACCUCGUGAACAAGACCAAGGGCAAGAUCAACCUCAAGAUGGUGGUGAACCACCAAAUGAUGCCCAAGGUCAAGUUCUCCCCCUCGAGCAAGUUCAAGAUCAAGAGCAAGCUCAAGAUCUAGAACAAUCUCAAGAUGGCGCUCAAGAUAAUCAAGUUAAUCCUCCUCCUUCCACAUCCGAGGAGGAAUUAGAGCGUUGUGCCGUGAAGAUUGCUUCCAAGCUCACCAACCAAGGUCAUCUCAUGGAGAAUGUGGUUGGAAGCCUAAGAAAGGGGGUAAGCACUCGUAGACAAUUAGCAAACUAUUGUGAACAUCACGCGUUUGUCUCUUGUGUUGAACCCCAAAAGGUCUAUGAGGCGCUCAAAGAUUUGGAUUGGCUCAAUGCCAUGCAUGAAGAACUCAACAACUUCGAGUACAGCAGGGUGUGGAUAUUGGUGCCAAGGCCGUCGGGGAACCACAACGUCAUUGGAACCAAGUGGAUUUUCAAGAACAAGCAAGAUGCUCAUGGGAACAUCGUUCGCAACAAGGCAAGAUUGGUAGCACAAGGCUACUCCCAAGUCGAGGGUAUCGACUACGGUGAAACCUUUGCUCCCAUUGCUCGCCUUGAAUCCAUUUGUUUGUUGAUUGCUUAUGCUUCCCAUCACAACUUUAAGUUACAACAAAUGGAUGUGAAGAGUUCUUUCUUAAUGGUCCUAUUAAUGAGUUGGUUUAUGUCAAGCAACCCCCCGGGUUCAAGGAUCCCUAUUUCCCGGAUCAUGUGUAUCAACUCGAUAAGGCACUCUAUGGCUUUAAGCAAGCCCCAUGUGCGUGGUAUGACCACCUUACCGAGUUGUUACAAGAUCGUGGAUUUGAGGUUGGGCAAAUCGAUCCCACUCUUUUUACUAAGAAGGUCAAAGUGGAGUUGUUUGUAUGCCAAAUAUAUGUUGAUGAUAUUAUCUUUGGUUCCCCUAACAAAGCUUUCAAUGAGGAAUUUGCCGCUCUCAUGACCUCUAAGUUCAAGAUGUCUUCGAUGGGAGAGUUGAAGUUCUUCCUUGGUUUCGAUAUCAAGCAAAGAAGAGAAGGUACCUUCAUCAACCAAGCCAAAUACACUCAAGACAUGCUAAAAAGAUUCAAGCUAAGUGAUGUCAAGCCGACUUCUACUCCAAUGCCUACCAAGUGCCAACUUGACAUUGAUCCCAAUGGUAAAGUGGUGGAUCAAAAGGUAUAUCACUCCAUGAUUGGCUCCUUGCUUUACCUUUGUGCAUCUAGACCGGAUAUCAUGUUGAGUGUGGGAAUGUGUGCACGAUUUCAAGCCGCACCGAAGGAAAGCCACUAUGUGGUGGUCAAGCGAAUCUUUCGAUAUUUGUCUCAUACCACAAACUUUGGCUUAUGGUACCCAAGAGGAGCAAACUUGAAGCUUGAAGGAUAUACGGACUCCGAUUGGGCGGGAGACAAAGUGGAUAGGAAGUCCACUUCCGGAGGGUGCCAAUUUCUUGGUUGCUCUUUGGUGAGUUGGUCUUCCAAGAAGCAAAGUUGUGUGUCUCUCUCGUCCACUGAAGCAGAAUAUGUGGCGGCCGGUAGUUGUUGUGCACAACUCUUAUGGAUGAGGCAAACUUUAAAGGAGUACGGUGUCAUUUGUGACAAAGUGCCUCUUUGGUGUGAUAAUAAAAGUGCGAUCAAGAUUUCUCUCAACCCAGUGCAACAUUUCAAGAUGAAGCAUAUUGAGAUUCGGUAUCACUUCAUCCGGUACCACAUUAGGCGAGGGGAGAUCGAGCUCAAAUAUGUCAACACUCAUGAUAACCUUGCAGAUAUUUUCACGAAGCCCUUAGAUGAAGCAAGAUUUCACGAGUUAAGGCAUGAGCUAAAUAUCAUUGAUUCGAGCAAUGUAUCUUGAACCUAUGCACAUCCCACCACAUUCAACAUGUUGUCUAGUUUAGGUGUAGGCAUGGACAUAGGGGGGGUGUUGUUCUCUCAAUGAACUCUCCCUCCCCCCAUUAUGCAUAAAUUGAUCAAGUCUUUCACAUUAACCAUUUUUGAUGGUACUUGUGCUUCAAGGACGAGUUUUGGUCAUGGUCCCAAGGUUAAAAUCUUCGUGGCGCCAUACCUCUUGACCCAAACAUAGGUGGCCUCGGCCACCGCCCUCUCUUGAAGAGCUGUGUCUUGGCCCUUGCUAGUGUGUUUGCUGCCGAGUUUGUUUUUCCUCCUCUUCUUGCCGUUGUUUUUCCCUUUUUCUGAGCCAAGCCAUUGUUGUCUAGUUGUCGUGGCUUGCUGGGCGGUACUACCGCUGGUGGUGCACGGUACUACCGCUUAUAAGCGGUACUACCGCCCACCAGAGCGGUACUACCGCUGCGGGGCGGGACCAGGGGGUUAUAUCGGGGCAGGGGGGUUUCUUCUCCCCCAUACCCAUUCGCUUCGCCCCCUCGUUCCUCUUUGUCUCUCCAGCAACGCCUCGCCGCGGGAGGGCUCCGGCGGACCUUCUUCUCUGGGGCGUCCCUCUCCAUUUCCUUCGGUGGAGUCGAUCCCCACCUCGUCCUCUUACCAUGGAUGUCGGUAUUGCCCCCGUUCCUCCUCUCUUUUUGUCUAGAUUUCAGAUCUAGCGUCUUAGGGGCAAUAGUGGUUGAAUCUCUAGAUUUUUGGCUAAAUCUAGGCUUGAGUAGGUUGGAGAAGGCAACUAGACUAUUUGGAUUAGUGUUUGGUAUGAGUAUUUUUGAAUUUGGCAGGCCGGUAGUGUCGGAUCUGACCACGGCAGUAGGGAACCGUUGUUUCCUCGCUUCAAGCGGUACUACCGCUUGGGCGGUACUGCCGCUUCCUGGUCGCGGUACUACCGCUGCCUGCCAAGUUCCAUCAUGUUCCUACCAUUCCUUGAUCUCUUUUGUUGUGUUUGUUGGCUUAUGCUCGUUCUUUCUGGUUGUUUCGCGUGUUCUUGUGUUUCGUUCCAGGUGAUGAACAUCCUGAGCAUCAAGCUCGCCGUGUCAACCCCGGUCGUGCCAUGUCAAAGCACUACCACACAUCUGAGUCAGCAGGAGGUUCCUCUAGUGCUCCACCUCCACCUCAACUCAAGAAGAAGUUUGUCGUCAAGCCGAAGCCAAAGGGCAAAACUGUGCCUCAAAUAAAUGCCAAGGAGUUCUGGGCAAGGCGUCGCCGCAACCCCUAUGUGGAAGACCAAGAACCCACUUUGGUCAACCGUCCGUUUUGGAACCGCUUUCAGUUUGCCAUCUUCUUUGAUGUGCUCAAGGCCAAGAAGAAUCUCUAUAUUGAUGUGCGCUCCAUCGACACAGACUAUAUAGAGAAGGAUCCUGAGUACUUUGGUGAAGCUCUUCAGAUGUGCUCUCAGCUGAACAUUCUUAGAAUCAUGCAGUUCAACAAGGACUAUGAUGCAGAUAUAGUGGCUCAAUUCUAUGCCACUGUCCAUCUAGGAACUGAUGAGGACAUGACUCUGACUUGGAUGACCAAUGGCAAGUUGCUUUCUGUCAAGUGGAAGGCUUUCAUGGAGUUACUUGGAGUGGAAGAUCGUGGGCUUGAGAUUCCUAUGGGCUUUCGGCCUCGCCGCAACACAACCUCCACUCACAAGCAAGCCCUCUGGACCUACUACACUCUGAAGAUCAACCCUGACACUAAGAAGGAAACAUAUGAGCUGCCUGCCUUUCUGGACAUUCUUCACCGUGUCUUUCGUGAGACUCUCUUCCCUCGUAUCGGGAAUCUGGAUAUGGUUCACUCCUAUCUCGUGGACAUGCUUCUCUUCUUCCAGCAUGAGAAGGAAGCAAACACUGGCGAGUCCCUAGACAUUUCUCAUGUUAUGUGGUCUGAGCUCUUAUCUACUACCUCUGAGCGCAAGUGCCCGAUCUAUGGACCGUUCAUCAUGUUGCUCAUUGAGAAGGCCUGGGAUCAGGUCUAUCCCAAGGUUAUGCUAGAGACUGGAGAGUUGGUGUCUCAUGAGAUCAAGCAUCUGAGGAAGAAGGACAACUGGGGCACCCAGGUCCCUAAAUCUAGGGGUACAUCUUCUGCUGCUGCCAUGGAGACCGAGGAGGAGGCUGAGGUUGAUGAUGACGAUGACUAUGAGCCUUCUGGGGCAGAGCCCUCUUGGGCAAAGAAGCUCAAGCUCAUGAUGAAGAAGCUUUUCUGCAUGGAGUCUCAUGGUCAGUACAUGACUCAUGUGGCUGAGAAGAAGGACAGGGGGCGUCACAAGGAGCUCAUACGUUAGUUGGGUGCCACCAUUAACAGUGGAUCUGAGGACCACCUAACUGAGGAGGAGGAGUGAAUUCAGCAGCACUGCCCAUGGACAGAUUCAGACGCCGAGCAGUUUCCGACCAAUGACGGUGGUGCAGACGAUCCUGCUGGGAUAUGAUGUUCGAGUCCCUCGCUUGCUAUCACCUAGAGCCGUAGCAAAACUCCUUCCCUUUUUGGUGUCUCGAUGCCAAAGGGGGAGAGAGUUUAGGGAUUUGUGUCGUUGUCUGAUUUGCAAGUGUGUCUUUGUGGUGUCGUUGUGUUUUCUCAUCGUUUGCUUUGUUUGGUUUUGUGCCAGUGAGACCUAAGUUCCAGACAUAUAGUGUGAGACAUAUGCUACCUUAUCUUUUUUGUUCAUUAUCUAUGUCUAUCUAGUCCUUCGGUAUCUUAUGAGUUGCAUGCUUAUCCUAUUAUAUACUCUGCUCUCAUAUAUCCUGCUUAGGUUGUUGGUCUCUAAAAUGUAGGGGGAGCGUUGAUCCUAGUAUGUGUGUCGUGCAGUCCAAAGCACUUAUCUAGAUAGCACACAUCUAGGGGGAGCCCAUCUAUAUUUUAGAGUUGCGGGGUUUGCGCAUGUCCUAUGUCUUUUCUCGUUUGUGCAAAUCCCGUAUUGUCAUCAAUCCACCAAAAAGGGGGAGAUUGUAAGGGCAUAUUUAUCCCUAAGGUGUUUUGGUGAUUGAUGACAAUGCUUUUACGGACUAAUCGUGUGCGUUGAACUUUUCAGAGAUUCAUCCUUUGGCACGAGAUGAUUCCCUCCUCUCGGUAUGUUAUUCAAGAUGGUGCAGCUCUUUCGUUUCUAUGUUGGUGGACUAGUUUCAUAGGAGUCAUCGUACUAUCAAGAGGGGAUCCGCUUUGGUAAGGCUAGGGUGGAAUCAACAUGUACACAUCCUCAUCGCACCCGCUGAACCUUCUCGCUUCAAUGGAGUACUCUUUCCCCUCUCUCUUUGCUUUGUCUGGUUCCAGUGGUAGUACCGCGGGCCACAGCGGUAAUACCUCCCAAGCACAACAAACGGUAGUACCGCUCCUCAGCGGUAGUACUGCCUGGAUCCUUCCAUCGUAGUACCGCUGCGACUCAGUGCUCCUACCGCCUCGACUCGAGGGCCCCUUUUCUCGUGUCGGGUUUUGCGACACUAGCUACGGCAGUAGAGGCGGUAGUACCGCUCCCAAGCGGUAGUACCGCCCUUACCACCGCGGUAGUACCGCUCUGGGUCCAAGACCCCGCUCCUUUCCUUUUGCGCGGCAGUACCGCCAGGUGGGACGAUAGUACCGCUGGCUCAGCGGUAGUACCGGCCACCCCAGCGGUAGUACCGCUCUCUGUAAGGCUGCUUGGGGGGUAACGGUUGGAUUGUUCCCCCCACUAUAUAAGGGGGUCUUCUUCCCUAAAGUUGACCUACCUCUUCCCCCAAAAGCUCCAUUGUUUCUCCAAGCUCCAUUUUCACCCGAUCUCUCUCUAAAAGCACAAGUGCUCCCUGGGUGAUUUUGGUAAUUAAUGUCAACAUAUCUCUUGUUGGACUAACACUUUUACAUAGUAUGUUUCAGAUAAGUUCAACAAUGAAGUGGCAUGGACUAGAGGAUGUGGAACCCCUUCAAGAUGCUAAGGACAAAGGAUUGGCUCAAGCUUCCAGGACAAGACUCUACAUUUUCUAUUUUAGUGGUCCAAGAUCACAUUGAGUCUAUAGGAAAAGCCAAUACUAUCAAGAGGGGAUGAGGUGUUGCUUAAUGGCUUGCUUGCUCAAAGUGCUUAGUGAUAUGCUUUCGAAGCCCUCAACUACCUUCUCACAUCCACAUAUGACCAAAACCAAAAGUCAAAAUCGGCCCCACCGAUUCUUUCUCUCCGGUGCCACCGAGUUCAGAUGUCAUAGCCACUGCCACAAACCCUAGGCAAAUCGGUCUCACCGAUAGGGUCUCGAUCUCACCGAGAUGGGAUUGUAAUCUCUCUGUUUCCCUUUGUAAAAUUUCGGUACCACCGAGAUGAGUGAUCAGUCCCACCGAGAUUGCAAUGUAAACUCUCUGGUUCCCUUUCGUAACAUUUCGGUCUCACCGAAAUGAGCAAACCGGUCCCACCGAGUUUACCUGACCAACUCUCUGGUUAGCUUAUUACCAAAACCGGUCCCACCGAGUUUGUGUAAUCGGUCUCGCCGAGAUUACAUUAUUCCCUAACCCUAACCAUAUCGGUCCUACCGAGUUGCAUGUCGGUCCCACCAAAAAUCCUAACGGUCACUAGAUUUGCUGAAUCGGUCCAACCGAGUUUCUCAAUUCGGUCCCACCGAGAUUGGCAAGUUGUAUGUAACCGUUAGAUUUUGUGUGGAGGCUAUAUAUACCCCUCCACCUCCUCUUCAUUUGUGGAGAGAGCCAUUAGAACGAACCUACACUUCCAACUUACAUUUUCUGAGAGAGAACCACCUACACUUGUGUUGAGCCCAAGAUAUUCCAUUCCUACCAUAUGAAUCUUGAUCUCUAGCCUUCCCCAAGUUGCUUUCCACUCAAAUCUUCUUUCCACCAAAUCCAAAUCCUGUGAGAGAGAGUUGAGUGUUGGGGAGAGUUGAGUGUUGGGGAGACUAUCAUUUGAAGCACAGGAGCAAUGAGUUCAUCAUCAGCACACCAUUUGUUACUUCUUGGAGAGUGGUGUCUCCUAGAUUGGCUAGGUGUCACUUCGGACCCUCCGACAAGAUUGUGGAGUUGAGCCAAGGAGUUUGUAAGGGGAAGGAGAUCGCCUACUUCGUGAAGAUCUACGGCUAGUGAGGCAAGUCCUUCGUGGGCGACGGCCAUGGUGGGAUAGACAAGGUUGCUUCUUCAUGGACCCUUCUUGGAUGGAGCCCUCCGUGGACUCGCGUAGCCGUUACCCUUCGUGGGUUGAAGUCUCCAUCAACAUGGAUGUACGAUAGCACCACCUAACGGAACCACGACAAAAACAUCUGUGUCGCCAAUUGCGUUUGAAUUCUCUAAUCCCAUCCCUUUACAUUCUUGCAAGUUGCAUGCUUUACUUUCCGUUGCUCAUAUACUCUUUGCAUGCUUGCUUGUUAUGUAUUGUGAUUGUUAAACUUGUGCCAAAACUCCACUUAAACUCAAAGAAACUAAAAACUACUACUUUUAGCACCUAGUGUCUAAUCACCCCCCCUCUAGAAACCUCUUCUUGAUCCUUUCAACUGGUAUCAGAGUGUUGGUUUCCAUUGCUUUGGUUUAAUCACCAUUGGAGGAAGAUGGAUGAGUCUACUUUGGGGAGUCUUAGACAUAGAGUGCCUAUACUUGAUGGAGAGUAUUUUCAUGAGUGGAAAAAUGAGAUGCUUGUGAUUUUCAAUCAAUAUCAUUUGAACAAGUACAUUGCUAGCCCUUGUGCACCUCAUGUUGAUCCUAUGCAUCCUACCCUUCAUGAGUCAAUUGACAUGAUUAGAAAUCUUAGAGUUGUUAAUCUUAUCACUAGAGACUUGCCUAGAAACUUGAUUGGAAACUUGUCUACUCUUGAGUGUGCCUACACUAUAUGGAAAUUUCUUGAGGAAUGAUUUCCGGAUUAUUCCUUGAAAAAUCUAGAUGAAAUUCUCCAUAAGUCUAUUGCCUUGAGUAAGAUGAAUUCCAGUGAUCCUAUGUUUGGUGAUUGUCUAUUUGAACUCACAAAUCUUAUGCGUGCCAAAGGAAAUGUUGGAAUCAUUAGCGAUAUUAUUUCCGAAGCUACUAGACUUCAUAAAGGAGAUCAUUGUCAAACUCACUCUAACGAAUCACCUUCUCUAGGAAUUGAUCCACCACAUGACGAUGUUGAACAUGGAUACUAUGAUGAGGAUGAUGAUAGUGACUUUGAUCUUUAUGAUGCAAUGAGACACUUUGCUCUUAUGGCAAAUCUUCGCGGAUAUAUGGCAGGAGGAAAGGAAUGAGUUCUUGAUAGUGGGUGUACCGAUCACAUGACCGGAGAUAAAUAUAUGUUUCGUGAGCUUGCUGAAAACGAAGGUCCUCAAAAGUAUGUCACCUUCGGUGACAACUCAAAGGUAAGGUGGUUGGCCUCGGUAAGGUGGCCAUAUCACAUGAUAGCUCCAUACAAAAUGUUAUGCUCGUUGAAUCCCUUGGCUACAACUUACUUUCAGUAUCUAGACUUGCUGAUUUCGGUUUCAAUGUCCUAUUUACUGAAGUAGAUUGCCAAGUGUUUCAAAGGAGAUAAUCAUAAAAUGGUCUUUACUGGUAUACGUAGAGGUGAUCUUUACAUUGUCAAUUUCACUAAAAAGGCUCAACCUAGAACUUGCUUUAUUGCUAAAUCUUCUAAAGAUUGGUUAUGGCAUAGACUAUUAGGUCAUGUUGGCAUGCAAAACCUUGACAAGCUUAUUAAUGAAAAUCAUAUCCUUGGUGUUAACGAUGUCAUAUUUGAUAAGGAUAGACUCUACAACGCUUGUCAAGCAGGUAAACAGGUUGGAGGAAGGCAUCCCGUGAAGAACAUCUUGACCACAAGGAGGCCACUCGAGCUACUUCACAUGGAUCUUUUUGGUCCCAACGCUUACAAGAGUCUCGGUGGAAAUUCUUUUGGUCUAGUUAUAGUUGAUGAUUUUUCAAGAUUUACGUGGGUGUUCUUUCUCGAUGAUAAAUCGUAGGUCCAAAAGAUCUUCAAAAACUUCGCUAGGAAGGCCCAAAAUCAAUUUGAAGUGAAGAUCAAGAAGGUUCGCAGCAACAACGAAACGGAGUUCAAGAACGCAAAUGUGGACACCUUUCUUGAUGAAGAAGGGAUUUAACAUGAGUUCUCGGCUACGUACACACCUCAACAAAAUGGAGUUGUUGAGAGGAAGAACCGGACGCUCAUCGAAAUGGCAAGAACGAUGCUUUAUGAGUACAAGAUCCCGAAGCCCUUUUGGGCAGAAGCGGUUGACACACCUUGUCAUGCAAUAAAUCGCUUGUAUCUUCACAAGCUACUCGGAAAGACGGCAUACAAGCUCCUCACCGGUAACAAACCCCAAGUUGGAUACUUUCGAGUAUUCGGCUCAAAGUGCUACAUUCUUGAUAAGCAUCAUCGUUCUAAAUUUGCUCCUAAGUCUCAUGAAGGUUUCCUACUUGGUUAUGGCUCAAACUCUCACACUUACCGUGUCUACAAUAAUUUCACCCGAAAGGUUGAAGAGACGGUAGAUGUGAAGUUUGAUGAAUCUAAUGGCUCGCAAGUAGAGCAAUUGACAAUUGAUGUAGGAGACAAAGACCCCUCGGAAGCAAUCCAAGACUUGUCUAUUGGCAAGAUUCGUCCAAUGGAGGUGAAGGAGAGUACCUCAUCCGUCCAAGUGGAAGCUUCUACCUCACGACAAGGCGAACGAAGAGUUGAUACGGAAGCAUCCACAAGUGGGACACACCAAGAUGAAGAAAACGAGGAAGUACACCAAGAACGUCAACAACCUUCUUCUCCACCACGACAAGAGAACGACAAUGCCAAUAAUGAAGAAGGCCAAGAAGAAGAACAAGAUGAAGAUGCUUAACCAAGACCCAAGAAAAAGCUUUCACGAGUUCGAGCAAGAAUUGCUAAAGACCAUCCCGUCGAGCAAAUCUACAAUGAUACCCAAACCAGGAGAAUCACUCUCUCUAAAACUCGUUUAGCUAACUUUUGUGAACACUAUUCAUUCAUCUCUAGCAUUGAACCCAUGAAGGUUGAAGAAGCAUUGGAAGAUCUGGAUUGGAUAAACGCCAUGCAUGAAGAGCUACACAACUUUGAGAGAAAUCAAGUUUGGACAUUGGUUGAGAAGCCCGACAACAACCACAACAUCAUCGGUACCAAAUGGGUGUUUCGCAACAAGCAAGAUGAAGAUGGACAAGUAGUUCGCAACAAAGCACGUCUUGUCACCCAAGGCUACACACAAGUCAAAAGUAUGGACUAUGGUGAGACAUAUGCUCCCGUUGCUAGACUUGAGUCCAUUUGCAUCUUACUUGCCUAUGCUAAUCACCACGAUAUCACCUUGUACCAAAUGGACAUUAAAAGUGCCUUUUUAAAUGGUGAAAUAGAGGAGGGAGUCUAUGUUAAGCAACCUCCUGGCUUUGUUAAUCCUAAGAAACCUAAUCAUGUUUACAAACUUCACAAAGCUCUUUACGGUCUUAAACAAGCUCCUAGAGCUUGGUAUAAAUGCUUGACCAAGUUCCUUAUUGAAAAAGGCUUUGAAAUUGGAAAAAUAGAUUCUACUCUUUUUACUAAAAGGGUUAAUGGAGAACUAUUUGUAUGCCACAUUUAUGUCGAUGAUAUUAUAUUUGGAUCAACUAACCCUCAUUUUAGUGAAAAGUUUGGAAAGCUAAUGUCGGAGAAGUUUGAGAUGUCUAUGAUGAGUGAACUCAAAUUAUUUCUUGGUUUGCAAAUCAAGCAAACUAAGGAAGGUACCUUUGUCUCUCAAACGAAGUACACCAAGGAUGCAAAGGUAUGACUACACCCAUGGCUACUAGUGGACAUCUUGAUUUGACCAAAGAUGGUGAACCGGCCAAUCAAAAGGUUUAUCGCUCUAUGAUUGGUUCAUUGUUAUAUUUAUGUGCUUCACGUCCUGAUAUUAUGCUAAGUGUGUGCAUGUGUGCACGAUAUCAAGCUGCUCCUAAAGAAUGUCAUCUUAAGGCUGUGAAAAGGAUAGUGAGAUACUUAAUGCAUACACCAAACUUUGACAUUUGGUAUCCAAAGAGGGCCUCUUUCGAUCUUGUUGGCUACUCCGACUCGGACUAUGCCGGUGACAAGGUUGAUAGGAAGUCCACUUUGGGUACUUGUCAAUUUCUUGGUAGAUCUCUUGUAUCUUGGUCUUCCAAGAAACAAAACUUGGUAUCCUUAUCCACCGCCGAAGCGGAAUACAUUGUCGCUGGUUCGUGUUGUGCUCAAUUACUUUGGAUGUCCCAAACUCUUAAAGAUUAUGGGAUAUAUGUGAAACAUGUUCCAUUACUUUGUGACAAUGAAAGUGCUAUCAAGAUUGCUCACAAUCCCGUGCAACAUUCUCGAACUAAGCAUAUUGAAGUUCAUCAUCAUUUCAUUCGAGAUCAUAUUGCCAAAGGGGACAUUAAUCUUAAGCAUGUUCGCACCGAAAAGCAAUUAGCGGAUAUUUUCACCAAACCACUUGACGAGAAAGUGUUUUGCAGGUUAAGAGGUGAAUUUAACAUCAUUGAUGCUUCAAACUUGGAGUAGGAACUCCAUUUGAUACAUGCAAGACAUGAGCCUAUGACUAAUCCUUGAUAUUUCGCAUAUGAUAACAAUCUUAUGUCUUGGAUAUAUUUGCACCUUGCAUGUUAUCUAACCCUUGUAGGUACUUGGAUGAAUCUAAGUCUAUGAGAUUGCAACUCACUCACAUCUUGAGCAAUCUCUACAUAACCAAGUCUCUACACAGUGGUGGUUGAAGACAAGGAAGCACGAAACCAUUCACAAUAUCCUUUGACAAAUUCUAUGUUGAGUUUCAUGAUUAUCAUUGGAUACACAAGUGCUCUUCCUUGCAAAAACUAACCCAUGCAGGUAGAUGAACUCAAAUUCCAAAGUGGUGCUCCCAACUCUUGAUGAGCUACAUCAACCUUGAGCAACCCACACAAGUUCAACUACAUGAUCACGAUCAAUACCACCACCCAAGGUAUGUUAUUCCAUCUUAGAGAAGCUUUACUCCAAGACAUGAGUCAAAGCACCUCAAUAAGAUGAGAAUACAUCAAAAUGCUUAAACGAAAAAUGGUAACCACAUUUUGCGCCUAAACGAUGAGUAUGACCUAUGAUCAAGUGAUCUCACUUGACUCCUAAGUCAAUAAACUCUAACAUAGUGACUUUGUCGCCGACCAAUUCUAGAUGAAGUUCUCUGGCGUUCCUUUCUGUGAUCUUGCAUUUUGUCUCAUGCAUAUUUGUUUCCCCUAUCAAAAAAAAACUUCAUCUAGAUUACUUUUAAGUUUCUUCUCUUUUAUUUUCUGUUCUGCAUUCCCUGCAUCCAAUUCAUCGCAAAUCUUUCAGUUAAUUCCUUGCAAAUCCUUGUAAGAUCUUACUUGUCUAGUGAGCUGAGGUGACAAGUGUUUUCUCUGUGAUGAACUCGGUCCCACCAGUCUGUUGUUUUCGGUUCAACCGAAUCCUUUCGGUGUAACCGAAGCAUAAUACUCGGUGCCACCGAUUUCACUACAAGAAAGACAUUUUGCCACUUGUUCCUGCAUUACUUUUGAUCCAGCUCCACUCAAUGAAUCUUGUCCUCUACCAGCAUCACAUUUAACUUGUUGCUUUGUUCUAUGACUCCGGGACCAAACUGAUGUAGGGUGGAACCCUAUAGCGUCGAUCUUUCACGUUUGGAGUGGAUCCUACGGGGAGACACGAAGAACGAGCGGAAGAACACGAGGAAAUCACGGGGAGGAACGAGGGAAAACACUCAACCAACAAGGAAUCGGUCACACAGGUGCUAGAUCGAAGAACACAAAGAGAUACACGAGAUCCAAAGUCAACAAAGGUAAGGAUACAAAGGUAACCGAUCUUCUCGGUGAGGAGGCCUUGAAUCCACAAAGGGAUCUUCCCACGAGGGGGUCUUGAAUCUGAUAGGAUCUACUCCAAAGAGGCCGCGGUCUCUCACGAGGAGGAGAUCCGAUGGAUGAGCAAAGCUCUAUCUCUAACUUGAGCUAAAUCAACGCUAACCCUCAAAGUGGGGAGUGGGAGGUCUAUUUAUAGUGCUACGCCACGAAGGGGUAAGUGAGGGGCGAAGGGGUACACGGGCUUCGGCCCAAGUCACGCACGCAGGUGGGGUCCGGAUGAUCCGGAUGGUGGCCCGGAUGAUCCGGGUGUCAGGGGUCCGGAUGAUCCGGGUGACUGUCCGGAUGAUCCGGCUUCGUCGAGCAGCUUCGGGUGUCUUCGGCCACGUUAGCCGGAUCGUCCGGGUGGUCGUCCGGAUCGUCCGGGCUCGGUCCGGAUCGUCCGGUUGGGUGUCCGGAUGAUCCGGGCAAGUCCUGUCUUGCUCCAUUUUUCUUCUUCCUUCUCCUCUUCCAUGCUUCUGCGCACGCUCGGCCUUGGUCCUUGGGUUCUCCAUGGUCUCCUCAGGUGUACCUGAGUAUGCACAAGGUCCGCGCUUGAAGUAGCAACCAUGUCUCACGUGAGGAAAGUGAAGGUUUAGAGAGGAUCGAGUUCACCUUGUGUCCAAUGGCGUAUGCUCGAGGUCUCGUCAUAUGUCCUCUUGGGGCUCGGAGAGUAGUCGGAGUGUACAUGGGGAUGAACGUAGGAUGCUCCGCAUCAUCUCCCCCCCCCCUUGUGAAAGAUCUGACCUCGGAUCGUGAUCCUCAUCACCAUGGAAACGGUUGUCGUGAACGGACUUGUAAUUGGGCGAGGUGGAAGGCAUGGCGCAAUCCAAGUAGUCCAAGGUGUAGCCGGAGUGGUAUACCUGCAAAAGAAACAAACACAAACAACACUCGGAAAUACCAUGGUUAGCGCACACAAAGUGUCCAUCAUGCAAGAAUGAGUCCGUGCGGCAAGAUUGGCCGUGACAAAGCGCAUGAAGCUUAUCAAGAUGAUCUAGAAUGAGAUGCAAAGCAUUCAUGGGAGGAAAUGCAAUCAUUGUGCACACAAAUGUGUUGUAAAUAUGAUCAAUGCAACCACGGUGCAAAAUGAUGUCAUAGUGAGACGGUUUAUCAAAUGCAUGAACAUGGCAACAGAUGCUCAAUAUGUGAAUAUUAUCAUGCAAUUGAUGGUGGGCAAUAUGAUCAUGAUGUAUGAAUAUGCCAUCAAGGAAGAUCACAACAAAUUUGCUAAGGAAGUGAACAAGCUCAUAUAUCAUGGAUGACAUGGUAAUACAAGAUGCAACAAGGCAAUCAUAAUGUGAGUCAAUCCAUGCAUAGUGUGCAAACUUGUGGUGAGUAUGAUAUGUCCAUCGAGCAUGACAUGUAUGAGCACAAUCAACAAAUAUGGAGGUGUUGGUGUACCAAAGCUCGAUGUCGAGGCAUGGGUGGAAGACCGAAGGUGCAUCCAAUAAGUGCGAGCGCUCCUCAAUGUGAAGGUCCAUGUAGCCAAUCUCCAAUGUCGUUCCUCCGUUCACGAGAUGUAUCAUGUAGACAACAAGAAGGAAACAACAAUGAAAGAGUGACCCAUCCAAUAUGCGUAAUUGAGGAUGGCUCAAAGAGAAGGAGUUCACCUUUAAGAGUGUCACAAGGAUGAUGUAGUUGCGCAUCUUGUAUGCCUUCACAUAACCAAUAUGCCGCGUGAUGGUACCGCCUUGUGAAUCCUUCAAAAUGAAAGAACAUGACAAACACUCGGAAAAACAAAUGAGGUUAGCGGAAGUGCAAAACCUAUCAUUCGUGUGGUAAGAUACCCAACAAGUGUAUGCAUCAUGCUCAUCAUAAGAAUGGACAAGGGAGCAUUUCAUAGUAUGAAGGCUUAUGAUGUAAGAACAACCAAAUACAAGAGGCUCAAUCAAACAAUCAUGCAUCACAAGUAAAGUGUCCAAGUCUCCAACAUCAAUAAGCAUAGCAAGUUGGCACUCAAUACAAGGUGAUAUGAGAGAUGCAACUAAUGGAGACAAGAGGCAAUGAUUAUGACAAAUCAAGUGAGAGGCAUGAGCAUAUGUGUCACCAACCCAAGAAAGCAAGUGAUAGUGGAACAUGGGUGAUGCAACCAAGCAAGCAAUCAUAGCAAUCACGUCAAGCAAGCUAGUAGUGCGAAGAUGCAACAUAUUAGAAGGAAUAAUGGCAAGCAUGUCAUGUGUGCAAAUAGUGGGCAUGAAUAAUGGACAUGACAUAGCACAAACAUGAAAGCAAGAUAUGAGCAAAAUAUCAUCAAUGUAUUGGCGAGAGACCAUAUGUGAAUAGCAAUGGGGCAUCAUGACUCUCCCAACACAACUAUCAACAAUAGCAUGGGGCACAUGAUAAACAUGGCAAAAGCAACAAGGAUCUCCACCAAGCAUGCAAAUACACAUAGAAGUAUCAUAAUGGUGAAUCAUGGGUAGAUGCAAGCAAGGGUCACAAUUGCAUGGCAAAGGCAUAGAAGCAAGAAUAACAUGCAAAGUGAACACAAUAGUGUGGGCAUAAGGUGACAAGUGGUAAAUAGCCCAUAGCCAUGUGAGAGCCAAGUAAAAGAGAUGCGCGUAGUCCUUGCGCGAAGGGAACGGUGGUAAGGAUAGUCCAUGAGAUCCCAAGUCAUCGUUGCUCUCAAGAGCUCGUUUCGUCAACUCAUGGGAUUGUGAGGUUGACGAGUGUUCAUAAGUACCUACACAAAACAAAGACAAAGAGAAAAUUGUGUGUGCAUGGUAUAUGUACACAUCAUCCAUCAUGAUGCACACGUGCAUGUGUCGGUUAGUACUAAAUAGCCAAUGCUCAAAUAAAUGAGAUGCGUGAUAUAGAAACAUGUCAUCCAUCAUGAGAGGUUUGUUGUUAUGUAUCGCAUAAUGGAGACUCAAAUUGUGUAAUGCAUCAUGAGAAAUAUCUAGAGCAUUGUUAUUCAUGGAAUGCAUAUGGUGCAAGCAAUCAUGGGAAUCAUGCAAAGUAUGAAAUGCAUCAAGAUCUCCUAAUAUGUAUGAGGAAACUAUGGGGGUCUCCUCAUGAGCAUGAGUAGCAACAUCACAUGGAGAAUAUUGACAACAUCCAAAACAAUGCAUAUUCGAAACAAUGUGAUCAUGGCAUGACAUAGUAGAUGAAUUGCACAAAUCAUGUAAAGGAAGCAUGGCAAUAUCAUCACAAGAGAAGCAAAAGUCAAUGACCAUCAUCUCAUCAUCUAUUCCAUAAGUGCAAAUGGGAUUGAUCUUAAUGGGGCAUGCAUAGUUACUAUGUUGAGAUUGAAAUGAAGCAAUAUGGGAGAUCUCACUCAUAGCAUAUGACAAGUUCAAUGGAUUGUCAAGCAUAAUGUGACCAAUAGAAUUUUCACAAGUUAUCCUAUGGAGCAUAGCAUCACAACUAGGCAACUCAACAUGCUCAUCAUCAUAUUCAUCAUAAAUAGGUAAGUCAAGACAUGAAGAAGUUUCACUAGCAUGAAGCAUGGCAAUAGGUGGGUCAACAUCAUGGGAGCAAUCAAUGUCAAGAGAGUCCACUAGUGGGACAAGAGAAGCACCAUCACCUAUGUUACCCUUGGAGCAUCGCUCAUGUGUUGUAGGUGAGGUGUCAAAGAUCCAAUCAUUGUCAUCUUCAUCUUGAUGGAACCAUGUGGGGGGUGCAUCAUUGUCCACCAUGGCCAUUGGUGUUUCCAUUGGAGGGAUGGACUCGUCGAGGAUAGGCAUGUCGUCAUGUAGGAGACCUAGCACCAAAGAAGAAUACACACUAGGAGUAGAGGUUAAGUCGUUAGAAAUCAUAGUGGCGUCACAUGCUGUGUCAACUACCUCACUCACUAAGUUUUGUGGCUCACUCACUCCCUCAAGGAUGCUCUCACUCGUAUGGUAGGUGGAGUCACUCAAAUGGCUCUCAACCUCACAUAGGAUGUGUUGCAUGCUCUCCUGUGUGGGGCUAGUGGUGGUCACACUCAUCCUCUCAUAGGAAAUGCUCUCAAUGUCACGUAUGGUGGAGUCACUCAUGUCACUCAUGUGGUGGUGGCUCUCCUCACAUGGCACUUUGGGCAUCUCUUCAUAUGUGGGUGUCGGAGAAGUGUAGGUGCAAAUGUCUCCAUGCGCGGUCGCGUAGCUUGACUCGGAGUAUGAAUCCAAUGUGGGCGCCGUCUUCAUGGUGUUGAAGAGGUUCGCGCUCGUCGCCGUGAUCGAAGGGGAUGGCCCUUGAUCAACCGUCUUGUCACCGUCUUGGUGUGGGAGGUCCAUAUGAUGUGGCACCUCGUAGCUCGUGUCCAUGACCGAAGGGAGUUUCCCAUGCUCGGCCAUCUUCCUUGGGGGGCUUCCGAAGAUGGAAGUGUCGCCCUCACUUGUAGGUAGUCGCCUUGAACUUGAUGAAGUCGAUGUAGGCGUACACAUGGGAAGUAGGCGAAGAUGUCGUACGUCCAAAGGCGAAGAUGCCUUGAUAGCACUUGGCAAAGAUGCCGAAGUGGUUGAUGUAGCCGUAGCGCCGUCUUGGUGGUGGUCAUCUCGCGGUCUUCUUUUAUGCUCAUGAAGCUUCGACUUGGCGUGUUGGGACUUGUGCAUUUGCGCUUGUGGAGCAUCUUCAUGAUGAUGGUGUCGUUGUCGCGCUUGAGCUCGAAGGCGUUCGUCGUCGUCGUGCACAUGAUGCUUGGAGGUGACUUUCCCUUCAUGACGAUGUGGAUCACGAACGUGAUGGUGGUCGCCAUGUCGAUGUUGACUUGGACGACUUGCGCUUGCAUCUUGUUUGUGCUCCGAAGAUGAUCGACUUGGUCGCCGCUGCCUUGAAGAUGACGAAGGGGAAGUAGACUUGAUCAAGGCUCUAAUCUCCUCCAUCCUUGCAUCUUGCUCCUCUUUAUGUGCGGCAAGCUUCUUGUCGAAGUAGUCCCUUCUCCUUGCUUCGGAGUGAUGAAUGUCGAUGGAGAUGUUCUCGAUGCGCUCUCGCAAUCUUUAUUGUGUGCCUUGCACUUGUCGUUGUAGAUCGAAGAUAGACGCUUUGGUUAUGUAGUUGUUCACGCCAUCGUUGUUGUCGAGGACCGGAGAGGAAAUGCCUUGCCUAUCCAUCACAAGACUCGAGCAAAUAUGAGUGGGACAAAGAGAAGAACUUAUACCAAUGUACCUUGACCGAUGUUGACAAUGAAUCAAGUUCACUCAAAUGCGGACAAUGAAAUAGCACUAUUGGUACCAAUCCUUGUCGGUUCUCACACCUACACAAGUAAAGCUUAUAGUGGAGCUCGGUGAGGAUAGUGGCACAAAAAUUUAAUGCAAAAUGUUAGCAAGAGUCAAUAAUGUUGAAAGAGAUUCACAAAUUCGCAAGUGAAACAAGUAGACCAAUAGCAAUAUGGAAGGCACACGGAAACGCACACACGGAUAGAUAAAUGGGGUCGUGCAACCAAGGAAUGAGCACAAAAUGUGGAAUCCACGGAAAACGCUCGUGUUGCACAACUCAAGAGAGACGCUAGCACGAUUGCUCAAUAGGCGGAUACGACACUUGUGCACAACCUAUAAGAUGCAAAAUGGAUAAACUUCUAUCCCAAGUAUGCUAUGUAUGUAUGGUUCCCGGUGUUUCUCUCAAUAUGAUCCAAGAUGAUCGGAUAUGACAAUCUUAUAUGCAAUGUGGUAUGAUGCUAUGGCACUUGCUUACAAGCUUCUUUGCUCUCUUUCUCUUUUGCUUAAAAGCUUUAUUUCUUUUUUUUGGCCACUUUGCACAAUGCACAAACCAAGAUAGCAAUUGUGUAUAUGCGGGAACAAACUUGUGACACAAGAUAUGAUAGCAAUAUAUGCACCACGAUGAUAUGGUAUGUAUGCUAUGGGAAGUAUGAUCACUAAUGUGCACAAGUAACGUUGCCGGCAAUACUCAAAUGGCUAGUCUCGAUAGGCAAGCGACGCAAAAGUAAGGCUAGGGGUUAACAAUGCAAUAGCAAGGGAAUAUACAAUGGAGGGAUACCAUGAUACCAAGAUGAUAUGGAGGUUACCGUCCGACGAUGAUGAGUAGCGGUGUUCUUGAUGUAGAUACCAAGAUGAUGGAGACUCGUCCCUAAGUAGCCGAAACACCUUAGGAAACGGAAAAACCGCGAACUCAAAAUCUCACACGUCAAAUGUCAAAAUGGUGGUAGCGGAGAGCGGUGGUGGUGUUGCACUAGGCAAUGCGAAAGUGGAAUGAUGGGCUAUACACGAGUCGGAGUUGAAGUUGCCGUCCCUAAGUAGCCGAAACACAUUAGGAGACACAAGCCACAACUCAAACAAGCUCAAACAAAAUUGGGUUAGGUUGGGUUGGUGGAAGUGUAUGAUGGGCAAGGUUAUGUGGAAGUGGUGGUGGUGGUUGAUGAAGAAGUAAUCGUACCUAAGUAGCCGAAACACCUUAGGAGACUCUAAUCACAACUCAUACAACCACAUAUGCAAUGGGGAACAAAAUGGGUUAGGUUGCGGAAGUCGGUGGUGGCUAUGCGGAUGAUAUGGUGGAAGCCCUAGGCAAAGAUGCCAAAAUCCCAAAAAUUUGAUGGUGUCAAAUGGUGUUGGUGGUAUUUUUUGGGAUGGGGGAUGUCGAUAGCUUCAAAACGAGCUAAAAAACAUCAAAAACGGACUCCGGAUGAAUUAGUUAUGACCAAACAAAAUUUCACCCGUGUCAGUUUCAGGGUUAACCGGACAUCCGGGAGGAGGUCCGGAUGAUCCGGGCUAGGUCCGGAUGAUCCGGGUGUACAUCCGGAUGAUCCAGGUUCGUCAGCUCCGGUUCUGUUUUCUGGGUGCGUGGGUUAUCCGGACGUCCGGGAGAGGGUCCAGCUGAUCCGGGAGGUGUCCGGAUGAUCCGGGAGAAGGUCCGGAUGAUCCUGGCAGGUCAAACUGCUCGGGAUUUCCUCUCGGGGACGAAUUUUUGGGCGGAAAUGGAUGAUUUUCGGGGCAAAAUUUGAGGGAUUUCGUGGAUGGAAGGUGGGGAAACUUGGGGAAAUGCUAGAUCCACUUGAAACCAAGCAAAUCCACGGAUCAAAAUCAACAAAACAUCAUCAAACCAACAAAUCACAAAAAAUUUUGGGGCUAUUUUGGUGGGGAUUUUCGGAUUUAGGACGAAAACAACAAAAUCAAGCUAGAAAACACGGGGUAGGGGCUCCAAAAACGUGAUCAACGUGGCUCAUGAUACCAUGAUAAUGUAGGGUGGAACCCUAUAGCGUCGAUCUUUCACGUUUGGAGUGGAUCCUACGGGGAGACACGAAGAACGAGCGGAAGAACACGAGGAAAUCACGAGGAGGAACGAGGGAAAACACUCAACCAACAAGGAAUCGGUCACACAGGUGCUAGAUCGAAGAACAUAAAGAGAUACACGAGAUCCAAAGUCAACAAAGGUAAGGAUACAAAGGUAACCGAUCUUCUCGGUGAGGAGGCCUUGAAUCCACAAAGGGAUCUUCCCAUGAGGGGGUCUUGAAUCCGAUAGGAUCUACUCCGAAGAGGCCGCGGUCUCUCACGAGGAGGAGAUCCGAUGGAUGAGCGAAGCUCUAUCUCUAACUUGAGCUAAAUCAACGCUAACCCUCAAAGUGGGGAGUGGGAGGUCUAUUUAUAGUGCUACGCCACGAAGGGGUAAGUGAGGGGCGAAGGGGUACACGGGCUUCGGCCCAAGUCACGCACGCAGGCGGGGUCCGGAUGAUCCGGAUGGUGGCCCGGAUGAUCCGGGUGUCGGGGGUCCGGAUGAUCCGGGUGACUGUCCGGAUGAUACGGCUUCGUCGAGCAGCUUCGGGUGUCUUCGGCCACGUUAGCCGGAUCGUCCGGGUGGUCGUCCGGGCUCGGUCCGGAUCGUCCGGCUGGGUGUCCGGAUGAUCCGGGCAAGUCCUGUCUUGCUCCAUUUUUCUUCUUCCUUCUCCUCUUCCAUGCUUCUGCGCACGCUCGGCCUUGGUCCUUGGGUUCUCCAUGGUCUCCUCGGGUGUACCUGAGUAUGCACAAGGUCCGCGCUUGAAGUAGCAACCAUGUCUCACGUGAGGAAAGUGAAGGUUUAGAGAGGAUCGAGUUCACCUUGUGUCCAAUGGCGUAUGCUCGAGGUCUCGUCAUAUGUCCUCUUGGGGCUCGGAGAGUAGUGGGAGUGUACAUGGGGAUGAACGUGGGAUGCUCCGCAUCACAAACCCAUUCAUGACAAAUUCCAGAAGCCCUUCUUUGAAAUUGAUGUCAAAGGGGGAGAGAGAGAUCACAUCAAAGCUUAAUCAUAUCUCUAGGGGGAGAGAAUACUCAAGGAGAGAGUAAUCUUCAAGGAUCCCAGAUGCUUGGUGUUCAAGAGGAGAGAUGUUACAUGUCUUCUAGAGGGGAAAGACAUGUUCAUAUGUGCUUAUUUGCAUUAGCUCUGUUCAUUCGUUUCUUUGAGCUCUGAUUUUCUGUUCCCUAUCUUCUCUCAGUAUCCCAUGCUAGAUUCAGGGGGAGCAAGACAUCUAAGGGAAAGAAAUUCUUUGUAUUCUUUGCACAUCUUUACCUUUGGGGACAUGUCUAUAUCCAAUGUGGUACUCAGUACUCACUCUCUACAUGUCAUCCCAGUCUUGGUACUCUUGUGGUUUCUUUUGUUUGCUCUUGCUAGUAGGUGCAUCUGUGUUAUCUAACCCUGUUUACGCAGGUUCACUCCAUCCUAAGCCAACUCAAGACCACAAGGUAAGUAUAUGCAUCACAGUCAUGUGUAUGAGGAAUUCUUGCUAAUGUACAUGCUGUUUGCAAGAAGGACUCAUGAGCAUGAAGGUACAUUUCACAUUCACAUCUUUUGCUAUGAUGCAUAUAGCCAAGACACAUGUAACACAUUGCCUACUCUGUCAUGGUUAUGCACUCACAUGCUUUUAUACUCCAUAUUUACUUGACUGCAUACAUGUAGGGGGAGCCUAUGCAUGUUACAUGUCUGUCCAAAGCUUUACUUGCUAUCCUCUAUAUCUUUAUCUAAAGCUUUGAUGUAUGUUGUCACCAAUUACCAAAAAGGGGGAGAUUGGAAGCACAAGUGCUCCCUGGGUGAUUUUGGUAAUUAGUGUCAACAUAUCUCUUAUUGGACUAACAAUUUUACCUAGUAUGUUUCAGAUAAGUUCAACAAUGAAGUGGCAUGGACUAGAGGAUGUGGAACCUCUUCAAGAUGCUAAGGACAAAGGAUUGGCUCAAGCUUCAAGGACAAGACUCUACAUUUUCUAUUUUAGUGGUCCAAGAUCACAUUGAGUCUAUAGGAAAAGCCAAUACUAUCAAGAGGGGAUGAGAUGUUGCUUAAUGGCUUGCUUGCUCAAAGUGCUUAGUGAUAUGCUCCGAGGCCCUCAACUACCUUCUCACAUCCACAUAUGACCUAAACCAAAAGUCAAACUCAGCCCCACCGAUUCUUUCUGUCCGGCGCCACCGAGUUCAGAUGUCAUAGCCACUACCACAAACCCUAGGCAAAUUGGUCUCACCGAGAUGGGAUUGUAAUCUCUCUGUUUCCCUUCGUAAUGUUUCGGUACCACCGAGAUGAGCGAUCGGUCCCACCGAGAUUGCAAUGUAAACUCUCUGCUUCCCUUUCGUAACAUUUCGGUCUCACUGAAAUGAGCGAACCUGUCCCACCGAGUUUACCUGACCAACUCUCUGGUUAGCUUAUUACCAAAAUCGGUCCCACCGAGUUUGUGUAAUCGGUCUCACCGAGAUUACGUUAUGCCCUAACCCUAACCAUAUCGGUCCUACCGAGUUGCAUGUCGGUCCCAUCGAAAAUCCUAACGGUCACUAGAUUUGCUAAAUCGGUUCGAUCGAGUUUCUCAAUUCGGUCCCACCGAGAUUGGCAAGUUGUGCGUAACGGUUAGAUUUUGUGUGGAGGCUAUAUAUACCCCUCCACCUCCUCUUCAUUCGUGGAGAGAGCCAUCAGAAUGAACCUACACUUCCAACUUACAUUUUCUGAGAGAGAACCACCUACACUUGUGUUGAGGCCAAGAUAUUCUAUUCCUACCAUAUGAAUCUUGAUCUCUAGCCUUCCCCAAGUUGCUUUCCACUCAAAUCUUCUUUCAACCAAAUCCAAAUCAUGUGAGAGAGAGUUGAGUGUUGGGGAAACUAUCAUUUGAAGCACAAGAGCAAGGAGUUCAUCAUCAACACACCAUUUGUUACUUCUUGGAGAAUGGUGUCUCCUAGAUUGGCUAGGUGUCACUUGGGAGCCUCCGACAAGAUUGUGGAGUUGAACCAAGGAGUUUGUAAGGGCAAGGAGAUCGCCUACUUCAUGAAGAUCUAUCGCUAGUGAGGCAAGUCCUUCGUGGGCCACGGCCAUGGUGGGAUAGACAAGGUUGCUUCUUCGUGGACCCUUCUUGGGUGGAGCCCUCCGUGGACUCGCGCAACCGUUACCCUUUCGUGGGUUGAAGUCUUGAUCAACAUGGAUGUACGAUAGCACCACCUAUCGGAACCACGACAAAAACAUCCGUGUCUCCAAUUGCGUUUGAAUUCUCCAAUCCCAUCCCUUUACAUUCUUGCAAGUUGCAUGCUUUACUUUCCGCUGCUCAUAUACUCUUUGCAUGCUUGCUUGUUAUGUAUUGUGAUUGUUAAACUUGUGCCAAAACUCCACUUAAACUCAAAGAAACUAAAAACUGCUACUUUUACCACCUAGUGUCUAAUCACCCCCCCCCCUCUAGACACCUCUUCUCGAUCCUUUCACUCUCCCUAGCCAAUCAAACUUGUUGAUUUGGUCGGGAUAGGUUGAGAAGGCCCCGAUCUACACUUCCACCAAGAGAAAUUUGAUCCCCCCCCCCACUAAUCCCUAGCGGAUCUUGUUACUCUUGGGUGUUUGAGCACCCUAGACAGUUGAGGUCACCGCGGAGCCAUAGUCCAUUGUGGCGAAGCUUCGUGGUGUCGUUGGGAGCCUCCAAUUAAGUUGUGGAGAUAGCCCCAACCUUGUUUGUAAAGGUUCGGUCGCCGCCUUCAAGAGCACCAAUAGUGGAAUCACGGCAUCUCGCAUUGUGUGAGGGCAUGAGGAGAAUACGGUGGCCCUAGUGGCUUCUUGGGGAGCAUUGUGCCUCCACACCGCUCUAACGGAGACGUACUUCCCCUCAAAAGGAAGGAACUUCGGUAACACAUCCCCGUCUCCAUCGGCUCCACUCUUGGUUAUCUCGUGUCUUUACUUGUGCAAGCUUAUUUGUGUUGUAUCCCUUGCUUGCUUGUGUACUUAUUGUUGUUGCAUCAUAUAGGUUGCUCACCUAGUUGCAUAUUUAAACAACCUAUUUUGAUGCAAAGUUUAAUUUGGUAAAGAAAAGCUAAAAAUUGUUAGUUGCCUAUUCACCCCCCCUCUAGCCAACUAUAUCAAUCCUUUCAAAGGUGUUGUACACACAGAGCUUGAAGUCGACGUGGCGUGGGGUGGACUAAUCAUCUACCAUGGAGUUAUGUUGAAGGUGGAGCUGAGGUCGGAUGGAAGACUUCACUUGGUGCUGAUUGAGGGGCUAAGGUGUAAGAGAUCAAAGAGUUGAAACCUAUUCAGCGGGAAAAGCGAGUGACAUGCAGUUCGGACUAUAGCCCAGUGGUCUGAUGGAAGCGUGAAACUCGUCAUCGGUUGACGACAAUCGGUGAUACUCAGCAGUGGGGGUUGAAUGGUGUGGGUUCGCGACCCUUGAGACUCAACCGGGACAGCGGAGGCUCGACACGGUAAUAGCGGCGAGGCGUGCAGUACGCACAGGACAUGAAGACAGGCCAGGGCUCUGGUGGUCAUACAUGUGGUGAGACAACUGCGAAUUUGACUCGUGAUGACUACAAGCAACGGUGAAAUUCCUUCAUGUUUCAGACAGACAGUCAAGAAAGGAGCGGUGAUGUUGAGUUCAGGUAACUCUUAUGUGUGACACCCAAUAUGUGAGUUGUUCAUUUUCAUGUCGGUCAGUGAUCAGUAUGUGAUGACGUUGGACUGAUACUCUGGAAGUUGGGAGUACAAACUAGAGUAACAAGAAACUUUAAUUUGCUCGAGUGUUGACUUUGAUCAAGAAAAAAAAGACUACAAGUUGCAGGUGAAGUCAUAUUGAGUCUUUGGAGUAGCAGUGGUGCUCAUGGGAUAAGCUCAAGUCCAAUGUACAUGAAAGUUUGACACAUGGACGAAUUCAAGGUGGUGGAGAAUAUUCGCCAAGGUGGAGUUUGUUGGUGUUGUGUCGAAUAUUAUUUACAAGGUAGGUUACAAUUGGACUCUGAGUAGUAUUGUGUUUAGAUAUGAUAUGGAGUCGUGUCCUAUUAGGACACUUGUAUCAUAGGCCUCUCAUAUAUAGCGGAGGUAGACACACAAUGUAAUCUAUGCCAACAUAAUAGCACAAGAACGCAGGGGAAGCCGGCGUCCAGGGCGACCGGGUAGGUAUUGUAGCGGUGUCAUGUGGAGGAGCGUCCAUAGUCAGGCCCCGGGAUGUAGCCAUAUCGGUGAACCUCGUUAACAAAUCUUGAUGUUGUGCUCGUGUGAUUGCUUGGUCCUCGGAUGAUCAACGGUAUGCCUCGAAUUUAUUCUAACAGAUGGAUCCUUAGGCCGCGCUCCUCGCGUCGGUCCUCCGCCGCUCUCUGACGAUGGCGGAGACGGAUGCGCGACGCCUCCGCCGGAAGAAUGCCAUGGCGCUCUGACUCUCCAUCGAGAUGUCGGAGCGCAAGGCAACCAAGGAUGCGGCGGCAAAGGCGAAGGUCGCCAUGCAAACGAGCAGGACCACCUGCUCCGCAGGCUGCCGGGCAUGAGUUGCAACUCUGACUCUGACCUGAUGGACGACUCCACCUCGAGCUCCAACAACGACGCGCCUCCGCACGCCGACGCCUACACGGAGGAGAGGCACAGCCACGCCGACGACCGGAAGGAGAAGGAGCCGGCGAGGAAAUGGUGAUUUCCUUCGCCCUUCCCCGUUACAUUUAUAUUUUAACUAUGUUAUAGUUCGUAGUAUGGACUUACCGUUGAACUCCAAUGAACUUUGCUUUUUUUGUCCGUCGAUGCAAAGUUGAUUCGAUGAACUGUGUGUUGUUGAUUGUGUUUACAUAGCGUUGCAUGGUUUGUGUGGUUUUGAGGGUUCGAAUAUGAGGAACACGAGGGUGGAAGCCACUAAAUAAGGCAUGCCCGGUCAGUGUCCGCGGAUGCGUGCGGGCUCUUUUACGGCGUUUGAGGGCCUGGAUUUGUAACUUGCGGGCGUAGAUGCUCUAACUUGACACGGCUCGGCUAAGAUGGCAUUCAAAGGAAAAAUGAUACUUGCCGCCAAAAAAAAAGGAAGAAUGAUAUUGUGCUUUUGAUUUGACAAGGCGCUCCAGUUGCCACUAACCAUUUUACCUGCAAACAGAAUGGCUGAAAAUGGUGUUGUACUUCUGAUUUGACAAACAAACAGAAUGGCUUUUCCGUAAUGUCCGUAUCACUGGACAGCGGACAGCACAAAGGAAAUUUCGAUCCAACUUUAUUGAUGCGUCAAAUAACCUACAAGAUCGCACUAUCCCUAUAUACAUCAUCGCACUCGCGUACGUCUCUACUCCUCUUUGUCCACAGGGACAAUGUACAAUCAACUAGCACUGCUACUCUUUUUCCACCCCCUCCCAUUCUGGUUUUGACCUCUUCAAGCAGCAUGUGCAACCCAGGGGAGUCGGUGCUCGAUUGAAUUGUCACCUGCCGCGCGAACCCAAUAGAAUUAACUGCCUUCAAAUCCACCAGCAGCGUUGUCUUGGCGCC